AGUCGCAACCGUUCAUAACGGCCAUUUUCUAUUCUGUAAGAAUGAACUCUACGGAGCUCAGACAGGAUAACCUAUGGUAUGGGUCGCAAUAAGAUAGAUAAUCUUCACAAGAUAACAAACAAACCACACCACAUCUGUAUUUUUGAACGUGGCUUAUUUUAGUGAACACAACUUUCACCUGUGUAAUAGGAGGAAUAAAUAAUAAAUAAUAUCAGACAUAAAUAAAUACAUUUGCAUUGUGCGAACUUAACUAGGAUAAUGUAUAUUAUAUAUCGAGGUUGAUGUUCGAAUUUCGGACACUUUAUUUAUUCAUAUUUAAGGUUGAUGUUAAGGGUAAUGAUAUUUUAAUAUAAAAAUUUGAAAAACUUAUGAGAUAAUUUUUUUAUUUUUUUUUAGAAUUAUGAGUUAGCUUAUAAAACCACACAAAAAACAAGACAUGCGAUUUAUAUAAUUUCUUUUUCUCUCGGUUAAAUUAACACUUGGUUUUAUAAUUUGUCCCGUAAGUUUUUCAAUUUUUAAUGAUCAAAUAACAGUACUCCAGCGUUAAAGAAUAGUGUAUUAGUUUAGUGAAAAACUUACCAAGUUGCAUUUAGUGAUUGAAUAGAAGAAAUAUCUUUCUAGAAUAUAAGAGAUAAAAUGUGAACAUCAAUUUGGUACCAUCAAAUUGCACUGUUUUGGAGAUAAGUAAAAUGUGAUCAAUAAUUAUUCUAUUAUAUAUUGAAUUUGAAAUCUCAUAAAGCAAGAAGUAGAAUUUUUUUUUAUAGAUGAAUUGUUAAUUAAAAAAAACUUAAUUAUGUAAAUUAUCCCUGUAAAUAAAGGUCACUCGAAUUCUGAUUCAUGCAAUUACCAAUCAUUUUAAACAAACAGUGCAAUUACUAAUCACUUGUAACUAGGUUCCUAAUGUCAUUUUCUUGUUGAUGUGGUGCUUAUUUGUUGACUAGCCAUGGUGACUAGGCAACAACUACGUUGACUUCGUAAAAAUUGCAUUGAUUGGACCAAAAUGCCUCUGACGGUUCAAGACAAAAAGAAAAAGACCAUUGCACCCUUAUUCUUCCUAGAGAAAUGGUUUAUUGCUGAAUAUGUUGUUAGAGAAUUUAUUUUCAGAGAACCAUUAACUGAGAGAAGGAGUCUGCAACAAUUGGACCAGAGAACUGGCUUUGUGUAAGGAGAAGAGAUUUUAUGGUGUCGAUUUUGUUAAACUAUGUGAUGGAACAGAAUAAUGAGGCGACGAUGAAGCUGACAGCUCUUCGGCCACAUCUCUUGGCGAUGACGUCGACGCCUGUGGUGAUGGAGAGAUAGAGGUCGACGAUGGGUUGGAGAGAUGAGAAUCAAUGAUGAUGUUGUUAAAGCAAACAAUGUCGAUUCAUGUAUAGAAACAUCAAGAGACGACGAAGAUCCAUGAAUGAUUUUGUUAGAAUUUACGGGAGAUUAGAUUAUUUGAGUUUAAAGAGAUAUUGUAAUUCAGGGAGAGAGGAUAAGGUUUUUUUAGACCAUCUACAAUGGUGAAGUCUUAACCAUUUAAGCCCCAAUACCUAUUAGGUACCCCCAUUGUGGAAAAAAUAUUUGGGGGUCUCUUAAGACCCGGGGUCUCACUUAAGACCUUCAUUCUUAAGUGGAUCUCACACAACUUUUUAAUAAACUAAUCAUUGUUUAGUUACAAAUGUAAAUGAUAAAGAGUUAUUGGUGGGUCCCAUUUAGACCUUUUGUUAGAGGGUCUCUAUUGAAGUAGUUGAGUACCUAUUAGGUACUAUCAUUAAAAAAUUAUAAAAAAGUGAUGUGUCAAUGUGGGACCCAUUUAAGACCUCUAGAUUGAGGGUCUCCAUUGUGGAUGCUCUUCUCUUAGUCUUGAACCAUUAAGGGCCUUUUGGUCCAUACAUGCCAUAUUUCAAUGAGUCAACAUUGUAAUCAUCAUGAUCACCACAUUGCCCAUUUUUUUGUUGACGUUAAUAAUAUUUGUCGUUAAAAAAAAAAAACCGCAUAAGAAAAAAAAAACAUGGCAUCAAUGUUUGUUUAAAAAGAUCAGCUUUGCUAAAAAAAAAGAUCAACAAUUGCAUGAAGCAAAACUCAAUUGUCAUAAGACUGGUGCUAGUUACACCCCAAAAAAAACUAGUUACACCCAAAUUUAUUUAAAAUUUUACAAUAAUACCAAAAUUGCCCUCUUCAUGUAAAUUUUUAAAAACCCAUCUUUUAUGAUCGUUCUGAACCCUUACCCCCUUUCAUCCACAAAUCACCAUAGAUGUGCAACCAAUAUCUGAAUCAACAUCUUUGUUAUUGAUCUGUAUUGUUAUACCCUGUUUUUUGACCUAAAAAUACUGGGCCCAAUUUCAUUUCAAACUUUGUCAAUUAUCAAAUUUCAACUGCACAGUUCAAAUUGUCUCUGCCUCGCAGUAUUUUCAAUCACAAUUUUACUUAUGUUUUCCUUGCAUAAAACUUUUCAAAAUGUCUUUACUUGUCUUGUAAGUCAUUCAAAAGUGUCUCUGGAUCGUUACAUUGCUUUUUCUACAGUUUAUUUCAAAAUUUGCAAAAAGUCAUACAGAAGGGUAUUUUGGUCAUUUCCUGCAGUGGGACCCAUUUUCAUCCUUGUGACUGUCUCCGAGUCUUUUCAGUUUGUUUUUAAACAUUUCAUCAGUAAGCCUUAUCAAAUUCAUUUCAAACUUGCAUCCGAGUCAGCGUCAAGUCAAUUUGAGUCUGUUUAGGUCAAUUUUAGCCCUAGGGGCAUUUUGGUCAUUUCACACAAAAUUUUGGCAUAGAGAGGUUACUUUGAAGUACCUCAUUUAGGCCAUUGGUUCGUUUUAGUCCGUUUUGUCAAUUUUAUUUGUGUUUCGCUUUACGUUUGGUCAAAUUACCAAUUUUAUUUUUAUUUUUAUUGUUUUUAUUAUUUUUGCAUUUUUGGUCCUCGAAGAGGUCCAAAAUUGCAUUUCAGUCCAGUUUCUUUUCCAAUUUUCAUUUCAGUCCUUUUUGUCAAUUGCAGUUUAGUCCUCAAGUUCUUAUUUUUGCAGAAAGGUCCAAAGUUCAUUUUUUAAGUCCAAAGCCGUGCCUCUUUCAUACAAGUUCAGAUGCCACAUGUCAGUUUCCUAUUGGUUCCAAUGCACACAUGUCAGCUAUAAAAGCAUUAAGUCAGAUUUCAGAAGCAAUGAUUACACGCCACAUCACAAACACUUUCCAAUUUUCUUUCCCAUUCUCAAAGAUCAAAAACUUAACAAUUUUCCAGAAUCAUCAAGAACAUUCAAACCCUAACCGUUUCUGAACCAACUCCAAAUCAAUCCAAAUCAACUCAAAUCAACAGAAAUCAACACAGAAUAUUACAAAUCAGUACAGAAUCAACAAGAUUUCUUGCAAUUCUCAGAGAUUUCGCAUCGAAUCUUCAUCAUCGAAUUGAGUUUCUUCGCAAUCCAAGGUGAGAAUUCGCCAUUGACGAACUCCAGCACCGAUCACGAAGAAUUCGAGAGCGUGAAAAGAAGAAGGAAAGAAGCAGAAUCUGGACCGGUGAAGAAGAAGAAGAAUCACUGAUUUAUUUUCAGUUUCAAAACCGGAAAUCAAUAAGCAAAAGCCAAAUCCAAGCGUUUCCGAAGAAACUCAACAGAAUCUCCAUAAAAAAAAACUCAGGUAAAACUCAGAACCUCUUUUCAACAAAUGAAAUCAUAGUUUAAACCUGUAAAAAUCACGCAAGCAAACGGAUCUAAAAAUUUCCAGAAUUCAAAGAUAAAACCGUAACCGUAAACACAAAACCUAGAUCCAUAAGGAUCUAAGUUUUGAAAGCAAGAACAAACAUCAAAGGAGUAAUACACAACGAAACGAUGUAGAUCUUCAAGGAUCUAAACGUUUUAUUUCAAAAAGAUCAAAAUCAAUUUCAAAGCCGUACGACAAAUUUCCAGAUCUACAUCGUUUCAAACUGAAUUUAAAAAAAUGACUGCUGGAUUCGUGUUUAGGGUUAAAGGACGGAUCAUUUGAUAUAGAAAUCUUUAAGUUCUGGAAAUUUUUCACCGGAAACUGCUUGAACUCGCCGGAGAAGAUGAAGUUUCCGGCGGACCUUCAAGGUCUCCGCCGUAGCUUCAUCCUCGCCGGCGGCGAGGUUAGAGAGAGAGUUGGGAGAUGAGAGAAGAGAGAAGAACUUAGAGAGAGAAAGGAAAGUGGAAAAUGAUUUAAACCGGUCCCCCUUCACUUUUAUAGCCAGUGAACCGGACCGGUCCAGAACCGGUCCAUUCCCCUUUGAUCCCUGGCCGUUUGAUCUAGGGUUCCAGGAUCCUGGAUCAAUCGUGUGGCUCUUGUGCAUCCGGACCUUGUAGGAUUGGGCUUUGGUUUGGGCUUAUUUUUCCUUUACGUUUUUUUGUUUUUUUGCUAUUUGCACUGCCUUUCUUGCUAUCUGAACCUGCUACUUGCCUACUCUUUUUUAUAAAUUUCCUAGAAAAUCCAUGCUUACUUCUUGAUAUUUUCUUGAUGUUUUAUGGUAUUUUUGCAUAUUGGAAUUGGCAAAAUUCUUGUAUGAUUAAUCCAUGGCAUUUUAAUUCUUUCUUGGAUUAUUUCUUAUGAUUGUUUUUUGUCAAUUUUAUCAUUGAUUUGUGAAUAUGUGAUAAAGGCCAUUUGAUAUGUUAAUGUGAGGUGCUCAUGCCUACAAUCCUAUGUUGAUUUUGCUGUUUUAGAUUGAUUCAUGAAACCUUGAUUGUAUGAGCAAUGCAUGCAUAUUCUAGAAAAUAAUAAAAUGCUAAUUCUAUCUCAAAAUUGGUAUGAAACUAAGCUUGCUUGUUUCUAAUGAUCAUAUGAUUAUAGCUUGAGAUAAAAGAAACUAUUUCAAACUUGCUAUAGCAUGAGAAUUAGAAGCUACAAAUGCCUUAGGUUUCAUAUCAAAAUUUUAGGGUUUAUUAUCAUUUUAUUACUAUCUUUGUGGCAUUUUAUGCGUUUUUGCCUCUUGCUACUCUUUAUGCUUUAUUUCACUAACAAGUUUAUUUCCAUGUUUCAUGCAUCUCAUUUAGCAUUCCCUCCACUUUCUUUAGCUUAGCAUUUAUUUUUGCAAGUUUUAGUUCAUUUAGUGGUGUAAUUUGUCAUCAUUGGUUUGUAGCUUGGCAAAGGGGCCAUAGAAUGUAUUUAGGCAAUUUUUGUAAUAUGGACUAUGGACACUAUGACGCACCGGCACGCACACACUCACUCUAGAUGUAUGCAUAGGAUUGAAUGGUUAGAUGAAUGCUUAGGUUUAGACACUUAGAUAAAAUCCAACUUUUUUCCAAAAAACAUGCAAAUAAUCUCACUUGAAAAUCUUUUUUUUGAAAAUAAAAUAGGAGUCAAAACUCCUUAUUUCCCUUUAUUUUCUUAAAUAAAAUUUUCAAUAAAUCUUAAUCCUCCUUGGACUCUACUUUUGCAAAAUGACUAAUUCCACCUCACACUUUCUAAAUCUUAUGCCCUUGAGGCCUCUCAUCUCCUUUCUUCAAAAUCUCUUUUCAAACUUAAAAUCAACCAACAAAAACAAAAACCAUUUUUGAGAAUGAACUACGAACGGUUUUGAUCCCUUAAAAGGGUACGUAGGCAAUGAGUCAAAACUCAUCCAAGCCGAAAUAAAAAUCAAAUUCUACUUCUUCUCACCCCCCAUUCUUGACUAAUCACACCUUCCCUUUUUUACAAAUAAGCAAUAAAACUGAAGCGUAGAAAUGAACUUAGGAGAGCGGUUCUUAUGGAAUACCAUAAUCGCUCCGGGUGCCUAACACCUUCCCGUAGCGAAAACGACCCCCGAAUCUAGAAACUUUUUAAGGGUUUUUCUCCUUUUACCCUUCCCAAGAAAAAAGAGAGACAUCAACGGUCGAAAGGUUCAAGCCUAAUUUAUGACUUGACACCCGAAAAUCGCGAUAACAGAAAUGGCGACUUCACUGGGGAUUCUUUUAGCGGGUCGCGCCUAGUUUUCCUUAGUUUAUAUUUACGCUUUGUUUUAUUGCUUACAUAUGUGAAUACUUGUUUACUUUCAUUUAACGUGUGGGGUGAGAAUAUCAAAAGUCCUAACCCGGGCUGAGUGAACUUAUGUUUAGGUAGAGAUAUAAUCGACAAUUCGAUCCGGGGGUUGCCUCGUGUAUUGGAUUAUGUUCUCACAUAGCUGAGGCAUUUUGAAGGUGAUAUUGUCGGCGUGUGUUGUCAUGCUUAGGCACUUCACUUUCAAUUGUUCGACGAAGCUAUGAACCGUAGUUACCAAACCCAUCCUAGCCUUUUUAGGACGUAGUGCGGUGGCUAAAUUGAGUGUUGUCUCAAACUUUAGUCGUCACGCGAUACUACACUCAAACUAGACCUUCUCACAAAUAAUCAUGGAACGGGUGUCGUCCUGUACUACCAUGAUAUAUGUGAGAGAGGUUGCAGUUUGGGAACUGUGUUAGAACCUUGGUUACUACUAUCCAAAGCCUUAGUUCACCGGACGCCGUGUCCAUCCGUGGCCCUGCUACUUUGAAUCUCAACCCACCUUGUUCUUUGUAACUAAACAACACAAUCAUGCAUACAUGCAUUCAUGCAUAAACUUUUUUCAUGCAUUCAUCGAAGGGUUUAAACAAAUGGAAAUUUUUUGUAAAUAAUCACAGGUAUGAAGAAGACUAAGUGCUACAAGUUCAAGGAGGUGGAUUUGGUUAGUUUGAGAGAGUUGGCACUCAAGGUCAAGAGUCAAAUAGGGUUCCGACUCCGGUAUGGGGGAUUGCUUACUUUGCUCCGAACCGAUGUGGACGAGAAGCUAGUGCACACUCUAGUGCAAUUUUAUGAUCCAAGCUUCCGUUGCUUCACUUUCCCGGACUUCCAGUUGGUUCCUACUCUCGAGGCUUACUCCAAUCUAGUGGGUUUACCUAUAGCCGAGAAGACGCCUUUCACCGGUCCCGGGACUUCUCUUACUCCUCUGGUUAUUGCUAAGGAUCUCUACCUCAAGACUUCCGACGUCUCCAACCAUCUUAUUACCAAGUCUCACAUCCGGGGGUUCGCUUCGAAGUAUCUUCUUGAGCAAGCUAAUCUCAGUACUACUCGUCAGGAUACACUCGAGGCUAUCCUUGCUUUGCUUAUCUACGGGCUCAUUCUCUUUCCGAACCUCGACAACUUCGUGGACAUGAAUGCUAUCGAGGUCUUCCAUUCCAAGAACCAGGUUCCUACUUUGCUAGCAGAUACCUACCACGCCAUUCAUGACAGGACUCUCAAGGGCCGUGGGUAUAUUCUUUGCUGCAUACCUCUUUUGUAUAGGUGGUUUAUUUCGCACCUUCCGAGUUCCUUCCAUGAUAACUCGGAAAAUUGGUCCUACUCUCAGCAGAUUAUGGCUCUCACUCCUAAUGAGGUGGUCUGGAUCACCCCCGCCGCUCAAGCCAAGGAAAUUAUCAUGGGUUGUGGAGACUUUCUCAACGUACCUCUUCUUGGUACUCGUGGAGGAAUUAACUACAACCCCGAGCUUGCUAUGAGACAGUUUGGUUUCCCUAUGAAGUCGAAGCCCAUCAAUCUUGCUACAUCUCCAGAGUUCUUCUUCUACACGAAUGCCCCUACAGGACAAAGGAAAGCUUUCAUGGAUGCUUGGUCCAAGGUUCGAAGGAAGAGUGUGAAGCAUCUAGGUGUGAGAUCCGGUGUUGCUCAUGAGGCUUAUACUCAGUGGCUGAUAGAUCGAGCUGAGGAGAUUGGUAUGCCUUAUCCAGCUAUGAGAUACGUGUCUUCAUCCACUCCAUCUAUGCCUCUACCUCUACUCCCCACGACUCAGGAUAUGUAUCAGGAGCAUCUAGCUAUGGAGAGUCGUGAGAAACAAGUGUGGAAAGCUCGGUACAAUCAAGCCGAGAAUCUAAUCAUGACUUUGGAUGGUAGAGAUGAGCAGAAGACUCAUGAGAACCUGAUGUUGAAGAAAGAAUUAGCUAAGGCCCGGAGGGAAUUGGAAGAGAAAGACGAGCUGCUUAUGAGGGAUUCCAAGAGAGCCAGAGGACGACGAGACUUCUUUGCCAGAUACUGUGAUUCAGAUUCCGAGUCCGAUGAUCCUCCGACUACUUCCUAUGCUUGAGGGCUUCAUUUGUUUAUCUUGUUGAAAUUUCAAAGUCUUCCUUUUGAAAAUGCUAUGUCGUUUUGAUUAUUUGCAAGAUUUCUAUUUUGUUUAAAAAUCCUUCGAUGAAAAAAUAAGUCUUUCGCAUUUGCAUUCGCAUAUCAUGCAUCAUAUGCAUCAUACAUUGGUCACAAAGGCUUCCAAGUGCUCACUAUCUCCUGGUUUCUCUACCUCAGUGUGAAAAGUGGCUCGUGCUCAGAGGAUUUACGAACCUGAUAGAACCGAUCGAACCAGAGAAUACAGAAGGAAGAAAAGGGCUAUGGAAGAAGAGAACACACAACUCCGUACCGAAUUGGCAUCUUUAAAGGAGGAAUUGGCCAAAGCUCAUGAUGCUAUGACUGCUCUGUUGGCUGCUCAGGAACAACCAGUUCCCGUAGUUUCUACAGCUGCAAAUGUGACUCCUACAGUAACAACUGAUCCCCGCUUUAUCAUGCCAUCCGGGUAUCCUUACGGACUUCCGCUGUACUAUACUGCUAAUACGGGGGCAGGGACCUCUGGUACUACCAACAGUGGCCCAAUCUCAGGGGCAAACUUAACUCCUGUUAGUACCGCCUUGACUCAAGCUGCAACAACUGUUACCGAGCCCAUUGUGAAUACGGUGCCUCUAUUUGUCCAUGCUAAUGCGCACCACGGGAGUAUUGCCACAACCGGAACUAUGGAAGAGAGAAUGGCAGAACUUGCCGAAGAGCUCCGACGGGAAAUUAAGGCCAACAGGGGAAAUGGAGACUCCAUUAAAACCCAGGAUCUCUGCUUAGUAUCGAAAGUGGAUGUUCCUAAAAAGUUCAAAGUCCCGGAGUUCGACAAGUAUAACGGGCUGACUUGUCCUCAAAAUCAUAUUGUCAAAUAUGUCCGGAAGAUGGGCAACUACAAGGACAAUGAUUCCCUUAUGAUCCAUUACUUCCAAGACAGUCUGAUGGAAGACGCUGCGGAGUGGUAUACUAGUCUGAGCAAAGAUGAUGUCCAUACUUUUGAUGAGCUAGCCACUGCUUUCAAGAGCCACUACGGGUUUAACACUCGAUUGAAGCCGAAUAGGGAGUUUCUCAGGUCCCUAUCUCAGAAAAAGGAGGAAAGUUUCCGGGAAUAUGCGCAAAGGUGGAGAGGGGCAGCUGCCCGUAUCACUCCUGCCUUAGAUGAAGAAGAAAUGACCCAGACAUUCUUAAAGACCUUGAAGAAAGAUUAUGUUGAGAGGAUGAUCAUCGCUGCCCCGAACAACUUUUCGGAGAUGGUCACUAUGGGAACCCGUCUUGAGGAAGCCGUCAGGGAUGGAAUCAUUGUGUUUGAGAAAGCUGAAUCCUCUGUGAAUGCGUCGAAGAGAUAUGGUAAUGGACACCACAAGAAGAAAGAAACGGAAGUGGGAAUGGUGUCAGCUGGAGCCGGUCAAUCAAUAGCUACCGUUGCUCCUAUCAAUGCAGCUCAAAUGCCUCCGUCAUACCCAUAUAUGCCGUACUCUCAGCAUCCGUUCUUCCCACCGUUUUACCAUCAGUACCCCCCGCCACCGGGUCAACCUCAAGUGCCCGUCAAUGCAAUUGCCCAACAGAUGAAACAACAGUUGCCGGUUCAACAACAACAACAACAACAACAGCAGCAGCAAUAUACCAGACCAACUUUUCCUCCUAUACCAAUGUUGUAUGCAGAACUUCUUCCAACUUUACUCCAAAGAGGACACUGCACGACUAGACAGGGUAAGCCCCCACCUGAUCCGUUGCCUCCAAGGUUCAGGUCUGAUCUCAAAUGUGAUUUUCAUCAAGGUGCCUUAGGUCAUGAUGUCGAGGGGUGUUAUGCUUUGAAGUAUAUCGUGAAGAAGCUCAUUGAUCAAGGAAAGCUGACUUUUGAGAAUAAUGUCCCACACGUCCUCGACAAUCCUCUCCCAAAUCAUGCCGCUGUGAAUAUGAUCGAAGUGUGUGAGGAAGCUCCUAGACUUGAUGUCCGCAACGUCGCAACUCCUCUGGUACCUCUACACAUCAAGCUGUGCAAAGCUUCUCUGUUCAGCCAUGAUCAUGCCAAGUGUCUAGGAUGCCUCCGUAAUCCUUUGGGUUGCCAUACUGUUCAAGACGACAUCCAAAGCUUGAUGAAUGAUAAUCUUCUGACUGUCAGUGAUGUUUGCGUGAUUGUGCCAGUUUUUCACGAUCCGCCUGUCAAGAGUGUACCUUUGAAGAAGAAUGCUGAGCCUUUGGUGAUAAGGUUGCCAGGACCAAUUCCUUAUGUUUCGGACAAGGCAGUCCCAUACAAAUACAAUGCUACUAUGGUAGAAAAUGGAGUAGAGGUGCCUCUAGCUUCCUUUGCCACAGUAAGCAAUAUUGCCGAAGGGACUUCUGCAGCGCUGAGAAGCGGGAAAGUCCGUCCGCCGUUAUUUCAGAAGAAGGUAGCUACGCCAAUCACUCCACCAGUUGAAGAAGCAACUCCAACCGUUGUUUCGCCCAUUGCUACAGAUGUGAACCAGUCCGGCAAAUCUAUAGAGGAUUCGAACUUAGAUGAGAUUCUGAGGAUAAUAAAGAGGAGCGACUACAAGAUUGUUGAUCAAUUGCUGCAGACUCCUUCGAAGAUAUCUGUCUUGUCAUUACUCUUGAGUUCCGAGGCUCACAGGAAUACCUUGUUGAAAGUGCUGGAGCAGGCUUAUGUUGACCACGAAGUUACGGUAGAUCGUUUCGGUGGCAUAGUGGGAAAUAUUACUGCUUGCAACAACCUCUGGUUUAGUGAAGAAGAGUUGCCGGAAGUGGGAAAGAGUCACAAUCUGGCUUUGCACAUCUCGGUGAAUUGUAAAUCAGACAUGAUAUCAAAUGUGUUGGUGGAUACCGGUUCCUCACUCAAUGUAAUGCCCAAGAUAACUCUAGAUCAGCUGAGCUACCGAGGAACCCCUUUGAGGAGGAGUACUUUCUUGGUCAAAGCUUUUGACGGAUCUCGAAAGAAUGUGCUGGGGGAAAUAGACUUGCCAAUAACCAUUGGCCCUGAGAAUUUCUUGGUUACUUUCCAAGUGAUGGACAUUAAUGCAUCCUACAGUUGUCUGCUGGGAAGACCGUGGAUACACGAUGCGGGUGCGGUUACUUCCACCUUACAUCAGAAGUUGAAGUUUGUGAAGAAUGGAAAACUCGUCACAAUCCAUGGUGAAGAAGCAUACUUAGUCAGCCAGCUGUCUUCCUUUUCUUGUAUUGAAGCAGGGUCUGCUGAAGGGACUGCUUUCCAAGGUUUGACCAUUGAAGGUGCAGAGCCUAAGAAAGCUGGGACUGCUAUGGCUUCUUUGAAGGAUGCACAGAGAGCCGUCCAAGAGGGUCAAGCUGCCGGUUGGGGCAAGGUGAUACAGCUCUAUGAGAACAAGCGUAAAGAAGGUCUCGGGUUCUCCCCGUCAUCAAGGGUUUCCUCGGGAGUCUUCCACAGUGCUGGGUUUGUUAAUGCUAUCUCUGAAGAAGCCACUGGAUCUGGUCUCAGGCCUGUAUUUGUUACACCAGGAGGCAUUGCAACAGAUUGGGAUGCCAUUGACAUUCCUUCAAUCAUGCAUGUUUCUGAGUAAUGUGUCUUGUUGCUUUAAUGCUUUGUUUUCAAAAUAACAAUCCUCUCGCUCUGCCCAAAGCGAGAGUGAUAUUUUCUGUAAGGGCAUGUUUGUUUCGGCAUUGCCGUUGAUUAAUAAAAUUUUGUCGUUUCUUCCACGACUACUUUUUUUAAGUGCUUUUUCCCUUGGAAACAAUGGUAAUGCCAGAAAAAAACCAAAACGUUUGUAUUUUCUUAUUAAUUUCAAAAAUCCGCAUGAAAAAAAAAACUCUUUCUAAAAUCAUCCAAUCAUUAUAUGCAGGUUGAACCAUAAUAAACCCGUUGAACACAGUAAUCCUACGGUUCCUCCAAGUUUUGAUUUCCCUGUGUAUGAAGCCGAAGAUGAGGAAGGUGAUGACAUACCAUAUGAGAUCACUCGGUUACUUGAGCAAGAAAAGAAAGCCAUUCAGCCUCACCAGGAAGAGAUUGAGCUUAUCAACAUAGGUACCGAGGAGAACAAGCGAGAAAUCAAGAUCGGUGCUGCUCUAGAGGAAGGGGUUAAAAAGAAGAUCAUCCAACUCCUCCGGGAAUAUCCGGAUAUUUUUGCAUGGUCGUAUGAAGAUAUGCCAGGUCUAGAUCCUAUGAUUGUGGAGCAUCGGAUCCCCACCAAGCCUGAAUGUCCUCCCGUCAGGCAGAAAUUGAGAAGGACUCAUCCAGAUAUGGCUCUCAAGAUUAAGAGCGAGGUUCAAAAACAGAUUGAUGCGGGUUUCCUCAUGACAGUUGAGUACCCUGAAUGGGUUGCCAAUAUUGUACCUGUGCCAAAGAAGGAUGGUAAAGUCCGGAUGUGUGUUGACUUCAGAGACCUGAAUAAAGCCAGUCCAAAAGACAACUUUCCAUUACCUCAUAUUGAUGUGCUUGUUGAUAAUACUGCUCAGUCUAAGGUGUUCUCCUUCAUGGACGGUUUCUCCGGUUAUAAUCAGAUCAAAAUGUCUCCUGAAGAUAGAGAAAAGACAUCUUUUAUCACUCCAUGGGGUACCUUCUGCUACAAAGUGAUGCCAUUCGGUCUAAUUAAUGUUGGUGCUACCUACCAAAGGGGAAUGACUACUCUGUUUCAUGACAUGAUUCACAAAGAAGUCGAAGUAUAUGUGGAUGACAUGAUUGUGAAGUCAACAGAUGAGGAGCAACAUGUUGAAUAUUUAACGAAGAUGUUUGAAAGGUUGAGAAAAUACAAGCUUCGACUGAAUCCCAACAAAUGUACAUUCGGCGUCAGAUCCGGGAAGUUAUUAGGCUUCGUUGUCAGCCAAAAGGGCAUUGAAGUCGAUCCUGAUAAAGUCCGGGCCAUCCGAGAAAUGCCAGCUCCACAGACAGAGAAACAAGUCAUAGGUUUCCUCGGGCGUUUGAAUUACAUCUCCCGAUUCAUAUCUCAUAUGACCGCAACCUGCGGGCCGAUCUUCAAGCUGCUUAGAAAGAACCAGCCUGUUGUAUGGAAUAAUGAAUGCCAAGAAGCUUUUGAUAGCAUCAAGAAUUACCUGCUGGAACCACCUAUCCUUGUCCCACCCGUGGAAGGAAGGCCGUUGAUCAUGUAUUUGGCAGUAUUUGAUGAAUCCAUGGGAUGCGUGCUUGGUCAACAAGAUGAAACUGGAAAGAAAGAGCAUGCUAUCUACUAUCUAAGCAAGAAGUUCACCGACUGCGAAACUCGGUAUACAAUGCUUGAGAAGACUUGUUGUGCUUUGGCCUGGGCCGCUAAACGCCUGCGUCAUUAUUUGGUGAACCAUACAACUUGGCUGAUAUCCAGAAUGGAUCCGAUAAAGUAUAUCUUUGAGAAAGCGGCCGUUACUGGAAAGAUUGCGCGCUGGCAGAUGCUUUUGUCUGAAUAUGAUAUUGUGUUCAAAACUCAAAAGGCAAUCAAAGGUAGCAUUCUUGCCAAUCAUCUUGCUUACCAACCUCUUGAUGAUUAUCAACCAAUUGAGUUCGAUUUCCCCGAUGAAGAGAUCAUGUAUUUGAAAUCAAAAGACUGCGAAGAACCGUUGAUUGAUGAAGGUCCAGAUCCCAAUAGCAAGUGGGGUUUAGUCUUUGAUGGUGCUGUCAAUGCUUAUGGUAAAGGAAUUGGGGCAGUCAUUGUAUCCCCACAGGGGCAUCACAUUCCUUUUACCGCCAGAAUCCUGUUCGAAUGUACCAACAAUAUGGCUGAGUAUGAAGCAUGUAUCUUCGGGAUCGAGGAAGCAAUUGACAUGAGAAUCAAACACCUCGACAUCUAUGGAGAUUCUGCGCUCGUCAUCAAUCAGAUAAAGGGUGAAUGGGAGACCCACCAUGCUAAGUUGAUUCCUUAUCGUGAUUAUGCGAGACGUUUGCUGACAUAUUUCACAAAGGUUGAGCUGCACCAUAUUCCUCGUGAUGAGAACCAAAUGGCUGAUGCUCUUGCUACUCUAUCCUCCAUGUUUCGAGUAAACCAUUGGAAUGAUGUGCCAGUAAUCAAAGUGCAGCGCCUUGAAAGACCUUCGCAUGUGUUUGCUAUUGGGGAUGUGAUCGAUCAGGCUGGUGAAAAUGUGGUUGACUAUAAACCCUGGUACUAUGACAUCAAACAGUUCUUGCUAAGCCGUGAGUAUCCGCCGGGUACUUCCAAACAAGAUAAGAAGACCCUGAGAAGAUUGGCCAGUAGAUUCCUGUUAGAUGGAGAUAUUCUGUACAAGAGAAACUAUGACAUGGUAUUGCUAAGAUGUGUUGAUGAACAUGAAGCGGAGCAGUUAAUGCAUGAUGUACAUGACGGCACCUUCGGGACCCAUGCUACAGGGCAUACUAUGUCAAGGAAGUUGUUACGAGCAGGUUACUACUGGAUGGCCAUGGAGCAUGAUUGCUACCAGUACGCCAGAAAGUGCCACAAAUGUCAAAUCUAUGCUGAUAAGAUUCAUGUGCCUCCGCACGCUCUCAAUGUUAUUUCAUCCCCAUGGCCGUUCUCAAUGCGGGGCAUCGACAUGAUUGGAAGAAUUGAACCGAAGGCUUCAAAUGGUCAUCGUUUCAUCUUAGUGGCAAUUGACUACUUCACCAAGUGGGUUGAAGCAGCAUCUUAUACCAAUGUGACCAAGCAAGUGGUAGCUAAGUUUAUCAAGAACAACAUCAUCUGUCGAUAUGGUGUUCCCAGCAAGAUUAUUACUGACAAUGGUACCAACCUGAACAACAAUGUGGUGCAAGCUCUUUGUGAAGAAUUCAAAAUUGAGCAUCAUAACUCUUCUCCCUAUAGACCUCAGAUGAAUGGUGCAGUUGAGGCCGCCAACAAGAAUAUCAAGAGAAUUGUCCAGAAGAUGGUAACCACUUACAAGGACUGGCAUGAGAUGUUACCCUAUGCUCUGCAUGGCUACCGUACUACUGUGCGCAGUUCAACAGGGGCAACCCCUUUCUCUCUUGUAUAUGGUAUGGAAGCAGUUCUUCCUUUGGAAGUGGAGAUCCCGUCUCUCCGUGUGAUCAUGGAAGCAAAGUUAUCAGAGGCUGAAUGGUGCCAAAGCCGAUAUGAUCAGUUGAAUUUGAUUGAGGAAAAACGUAUGGAUGCCAUGGCUCGUGGACAGUCAUAUCAAGCAAGAAUGAAGACUGCCUUUGACAAGAAAGUCCAUCCUCGAGAAUUCAAGGUAGGGGAACUUGUAUUGAAAAGGAGGGUAAGCCAGCAACCCGACCCAAGGGGCAAGUGGACGCCUAACUAUGAAGGUCCUUAUGUUGUCAAGAAGGCCUUCUCCGGUGGUGCUUUAAUCCUUACACACAUGGAUGGUGUAGAACUUCCAAAUCCAGUGAAUGCCGAUAUAGUCAAGAAAUACUUUGCCUAGAAAUAUGAAAAGAACAGCGUGGUAGGUCGAAAACCCGAAAGGGCGGCCUAGGCAAAAAUGCGCUUCCCGGUGGAUCGAAAACCCGAAAGGGCGGUCCAGGCAAAAAUAAGGGACAAAAAAAAAACAAAUAUGAAAAGCUCGCUGAGAUUGUAAACAACUCAGGCAAGAAUGAGCGUCUCGAUGAGCCGAAAACCCGGAAGGGCGGUUCAUGCAAGAAUGAGAUUGAAACAAAAGGCAAGUAACUAUAUCUGGCUAACCACCGUCCCCCUUGGGGCAUCUGCAGCUGUUAAUGACUAUCUUCAUCAAAAGUUCCUACGCUUGCGAAUUCAAAGUUUCCAGGAAAUGUAAUGAUUGAUGUGUUCAAUGUACCACCAACCAAUAAAAUUACCAUUUUCCAAGCUUUGUAAAUCCAUGGAGUCACGCCCUCGGCUGACCACCACUCUCAUACAUCAAUUUGAGCUUGUGCUUUUGUUUGAAACUCUAUUUUUCUUCUACUUUCAAAGCUAUAUACAAAACAUUUUCUUUCUAUUUUGAUAAUGACAAUGCUUGAAACAAACAUUUUUUUUUAAAAAUUGAAAACUUUCUGUCUAUUUUGAAAAGCAAACCUGAGCAACAGGGUACAUUCAAAUGAAACAUGCAUGAGCGAGAGUAUGUUGAUGUCUAUUUCAAUAUAUGUUACAAGCAGGUUCUCCUCCAGGAUAGUCUGUGGUCAAUGGCAAGAAUGAAAAAACAGAAUGAAAAUGCAUGAAAUUGAAUAGGCUCGCUAAGUUGAAAACCCGAAAGGGCGGCUUAGGCAAAAAUGAGCACCCCGCUGGAUUGACAACCCGAAAGGGCAGUUCAGGCAAAAAUGGGGCAUUGAAAAGAAUUUAUUUCCCCGGUGGAUCGAAAACCCGAAAGGGCGAUCCAGGCAAAAAUGGGAUGCAAAAAAUGAAUGAAUGAAAGUUGAGAAAAUAACAUGCAAAAAGCAUUGACCACAGAUGCGACAUCCACGGUACAUCCGGCAUUAUUUCCAGUAGAGUCUCCCAAGAUUCUAUCCCCAGCAAGUUGCAUAGCUACCGGCCCUCAGCCUAGGUCCCGAAACGUCUCCCAACGACGUCAUCUCCAAAGAGGAUUUCCAAGAAUGUGUAAUAUAGCACGAGCCACUACGUGCCCAAUACUCUGAUGUCUUGUCUUCCCCGUGAAGUCGUGCCUACAAAAUGCCAACAGUCAUGCAUUACAAGCAUUCAUACAUGCAUAAUCAUGCAUAUUACGUGCCCAUGCAUUUAAUGAAACUGUUAUAUCAUCCGUGCAUAUUGCAUUUCCAAUGUCAACAUCAGUCUCAAUUCGAUACUCAUGUCAGGUUCUCUGUCAAAACCUUGUGAGCCAAUAAUAUCGGUCAAUUUCUGCCUUUCAAUUCAAAUCGACGUCAAGUCAAUCUCAAUCUAUAUUUUGUCAAAAAAAAACCAAUCCCCAGUGAAUAUGUUUCUGUUUGGUCAAGUGGCUAGUUCAAGUCCAAGAACAGCUUGUACCUAUCAAUUUGCUUAUGUUAUCGGUCGAGUGCCCAGCUCAAUCCAAGAGCAGCUUGUACCUGUCAAUAUGUUUCCGUUUGGUCAAGUGGCUAGCUCAAUCCAAGAGCAGCUUGUACCUGUCUAUCUGUUUCUGUCCGGUGGAGUAACCAGUUCGCAUCCAAGAACAAGCUCACACCUGUUUAUUUGCCUUUGCUUUCGGUCGAGUGACCAGUUCGAAGCCAAGAACAACUCGUACCUAUCUACUUUUCCAUGACCCCGGUCGAGUUACCAGUUCGAAUCCAAGAACAGCUCGUACCUGUCUAUGUGUCUAUGAUUUUGGGUCAAGUGGCUAGUUCAAGUCCAAGAACAGCUUGUACCCGUCUAUCUGUUUCUGUUCGCUCAAGUGGCUAGCUCGAUCCAAGAGCAGCUUGCGCCUGUCUAUUUUGUCUUUGUCUCCGGUGGAGUAACCAGUUCGCAUCCAAGAACAAGCUCGCACCUGUCUAUUUGCCUUGCUUUCAGUCGAGUAACCAGUUCGAAUCCUUAAGAACAACUCGUACCUGCCAAUUUUACAUGUUUUCAGUCGAGUCACCAGUUCGAAUCCAUAAGAACAACUCGUACUUGUCAAUUUUCUCUUUUUCCAGUCGAGUCACCAGUUCGAAUCCGUAAGAACAACUCGUACUUGCCAAUUUUCUCUUUUUCCCAGUCGAGUCACCAGUUCGAAUCCAUAAGAACAACUCGUACUUGCCAAUUUUCUCUUUUUCCCAGUCGGGUCACCAGUUCGAAUCCAUAAGAACAACUCGCACUUUCCAAUAUCCCCAAGUGAGUUACCAGUUCGAAUCCAUAAGAACAACUCAUGUUUGUCCAGUAACCUCUAUCCCCUGUGAAGUGACCAGUUCGAAUCCAUAAGAACAACUCGCAGUUGUCUGUUUGUUUCAUCCCCGGUCAAGUGGCUAGUUUGAAUCCAAGAACAGCUUGUACCUGUCCAACUUGUUUCUAGUUUCCCGUUACUCUGCUAUUCACUAUCUUUGUCAAUGUCUACCAAUCCCGCAAUGGAUACGACAUAUUUUGUUAAUUCCAAUCCCCAUGAGGUCUUGCAUUCAUAAUCCAAAUGAUGCAUGGCAUGCAUAUUAUUUGAAAAUGGGUAGGCGUAUUUUUACGUCCAAACACAGUGCAAAUGCUAAUAUUUAAGUAUCUUCGUCCUGUCAAGCCAAAGACUCCGUCUCUUGACUCUCCAGACAAAGAAACUUAAAUAGGGGCAGCUGUUAUACCCUGUUUUUGGACCUAAAAAUACUGGGCCCAAUUUCAUUUCAAACUUUGUCAAUUAUCAAAUUUCAACUGCACAGUUCAAAUUGUCUCUGCCUCGCAGUAUUUUCAAUCACAAUUUUACUUAUGUUUUCCUUGCAUAAAACUUUUCAAAAUGUCUUUACUUGUCUUGUAAGUCAUUCAAAAGUGUCUCUGGAUCGUUACAUUGCUUUUUCUACAGUUUAUUUCAAAAUUUGCAAAAAGUCAUACAGAAGGGUAUUUUGGUCAUUUCCUGCAGUGGGACCCAUUUUCAUCCUUGUGACUGUCUCCGAGUCUUUUCAGUUUGUUUUUAAACAUUUCAUCAGUAAGCCUUAUCAAAUUCAUUUCAAACUUGCAUCCGAGUCAGCGUCAAGUCAAUUUGAGUCUGUUUAGGUCAAUUUUAGCCCUAGGGGCAUUUUGGUCAUUUCACACAAAAUUUUGGCAUAGCGAGGUUACUUUGAAGUACCUCAUUUAGGCCAUUGGUUCGUUUUAGUCCGUUUUGUCAAUUUUAUUUGUGUUUCGCUUUACGUUUGGUCAAAUUACCAAUUUUAUUUUUAUUUUUAUUGUUUUUAUUAUUUUUGCAUUUUUGGUCCUCGAAGAGGUCCAAAAUUGCAUUUCAGUCCAGUUUCUUUUCCAAUUUUCAUUUCAGUCCUUUUUGUCAAUUGCAGUUUAGUCCUCAAGUUCUUAUUUUUGCAGAAAGGUCCAAAGUUCAUUUUUUAAGUCCAAAGCCGUGCCUCUUUCAUACAAGUUCAGAUGCCACAUGUCAGUUUCCUAUUGGUUCCAAUGCACACAUGUCAGCUAUAAAAGCAUUAAGUCAGAUUUCAGAAGCAAUGAUUACACGCCACAUCACAAACACUUUCCAAUUUUCUUUCCCAUUCUCAAAGAUCAAAAACUUAACAAUUUUCCAGAAUCAUCAAGAACAUUCAAACCCUAACCGUUUCUGAACCAACUCCAAAUCAAUCCAAAUCAACUCAAAUCAACAGAAAUCAACACAGAAUAUUACAAAUCAGUACAGAAUCAACAAGAUUUCUUGCAAUUCUCAGAGAUUUCGCAUCGAAUCUUCAUCAUCGAAUUGAGUUUCUUCGCAAUCCAAGGUGAGAAUUCGCCAUUGACGAACUCCAGCACCGAUCACGAAGAAUUCGAGAGCGUGAAAAGAAGAAGGAAAGAAGCAGAAUCUGGACCGGUGAAGAAGAAGAAGAAUCACUGAUUUAUUUUCAGUUUCAAAACCGGAAAUCAAUAAGCAAAAGCCAAAUCCAAGCGUUUCCGAAGAAACUCAACAGAAUCUCCAUAAAAAAAAACUCAGGUAAAACUCAGAACCUCUUUUCAACAAAUGAAAUCAUAGUUUAAACCUGUAAAAAUCACGCAAGCAAACGGAUCUAAAAAUUUCCAGAAUUCAAAGAUAAAACCGUAACCGUAAACACAAAACCUAGAUCCAUAAGGAUCUAAGUUUUGAAAGCAAGAACAAACAUCAAAGGAGUAAUACACAACGAAACGAUGUAGAUCUUCAAGGAUCUAAACGUUUUAUUUCAAAAAGAUCAAAAUCAAUUUCAAAGCCGUACGACAAAUUUCCAGAUCUACAUCGUUUCAAACUGAAUUUAAAAAAAUGACUGCUGGAUUCGUGUUUAGGGUUAAAGGACGGAUCAUUUGAUAUAGAAAUCUUUAAGUUCUGGAAAUUUUUCACCGGAAACUGCUUGAACUCGCCGGAGAAGAUGAAGUUUCCGGCGGACCUUCAAGGUCUCCGCCGUAGCUUCAUCCUCGCCGGCGGCGAGGUUAGAGAGAGAGUUGGGAGAUGAGAGAAGAGAGAAGAACUUAGAGAGAGAAAGGAAAGUGGAAAAUGAUUUAAACCGGUCCCCCUUCACUUUUAUAGCCAGUGAACCGGACCGGUCCAGAACCGGUCCAUUCCCCUUUGAUCCCUGGCCGUUUGAUCUAGGGUUCCAGGAUCCUGGAUCAAUCGUGUGGCUCUUGUGCAUCCGGACCUUGUAGGAUUGGGCUUUGGUUUGGGCUUAUUUUUCCUUUACGUUUUUUUGUUUUUUUGCUAUUUGCACUGCCUUUCUUGCUAUCUGAACCUGCUACUUGCCUACUCUUUUUUAUAAAUUUCCUAGAAAAUCCAUGCUUACUUCUUGAUAUUUUCUUGAUGUUUUAUGGUAUUUUUGCAUAUUGGAAUUGGCAAAAUUCUUGUAUGAUUAAUCCAUGGCAUUUUAAUUCUUUCUUGGAUUAUUUCUUAUGAUUGUUUUUUGUCAAUUUUAUCAUUGAUUUGUGAAUAUGUGAUAAAGGCCAUUUGAUAUGUUAAUGUGAGGUGCUCAUGCCUACAAUCCUAUGUUGAUUUUGCUGUUUUAGAUUGAUUCAUGAAACCUUGAUUGUAUGAGCAAUGCAUGCAUAUUCUAGAAAAUAAUAAAAUGCUAAUUCUAUCUCAAAAUUGGUAUGAAACUAAGCUUGCUUGUUUCUAAUGAUCAUAUGAUUAUAGCUUGAGAUAAAAGAAACUAUUUCAAACUUGCUAUAGCAUGAGAAUUAGAAGCUACAAAUGCCUUAGGUUUCAUAUCAAAAUUUUAGGGUUUAUUAUCAUUUUAUUACUAUCUUUGUGGCAUUUUAUGCGUUUUUGCCUCUUGCUACUCUUUAUGCUUUAUUUCACUAACAAGUUUAUUUCCAUGUUUCAUGCAUCUCAUUUAGCAUUCCCUCCACUUUCUUUAGCUUAGCAUUUAUUUUUGCAAGUUUUAGUUCAUUUAGUGGUGUAAUUUGUCAUCAUUGGUUUGUAGCUUGGCAAAGGGGCCAUAGAAUGUAUUUAGGCAAUUUUUGUAAUAUGGACUAUGGACACUAUGACGCACCGGCACGCACACACUCACUCUAGAUGUAUGCAUAGGAUUGAAUGGUUAGAUGAAUGCUUAGGUUUAGACACUUAGAUAAAAUCCAACUUUUUUCCAAAAAACAUGCAAAUAAUCUCACUUGAAAAUCUUUUUUUUGAAAAUAAAAUAGGAGUCAAAACUCCUUAUUUCCCUUUAUUUUCUUAAAUAAAAUUUUCAAUAAAUCUUAAUCCUCCUUGGACUCUACUUUUGCAAAAUGACUAAUUCCACCUCACACUUUCUAAAUCUUAUGCCCUUGAGGCCUCUCAUCUCCUUUCUUCAAAAUCUCUUUUCAAACUUAAAAUCAACCAACAAAAACAAAAACCAUUUUUGAGAAUGAACUACGAACGGUUUUGAUCCCUUAAAAGGGUACGUAGGCAAUGAGUCAAAACUCAUCCAAGCCGAAAUAAAAAUCAAAUUCUACUUCUUCUCACCCCCCAUUCUUGACUAAUCACACCUUCCCUUUUUUACAAAUAAGCAAUAAAACUGAAGCGUAGAAAUGAACUUAGGAGAGCGGUUCUUAUGGAAUACCAUAAUCGCUCCGGGUGCCUAACACCUUCCCGUAGCGAAAACGACCCCCGAAUCUAGAAACUUUUUAAGGGUUUUUCUCCUUUUACCCUUCCCAAGAAAAAAGAGAGACAUCAACGGUCGAAAGGUUCAAGCCUAAUUUAUGACUUGACACCCGAAAAUCGCGAUAACAUGUAUUAUAUUCAUAAAGGUUAGUGAAUUUCAUGAAUUUCAUUUUCAAUGAGUUUCUAUUUGUUUAUUGUUUGUUUUGGUAUGAGAUAUGUUCAAUUUAGGUUAGUGUAAAUUAAGUUUACUUAUGUUCAAUUUAGGUUAAUGUAAAUUUAGUUUACUUAUGUCAAUGUAAAUUAAGUUUACUUAUUAUGUUCAAUCUAGGUUAAUGUAAAUUUAGUUUACUUUACCUUCAAUCUAGGUUAGUGUAAAUUCAGUUUACAUGUAUAUAAGAGGUUAGUGUAAACUCAGUUUACUCAAUCGAGGUUAAUGUAAAUUAAGUUUACUUAUGUUCAAUCUAGGUUAAUGUAAAUUCAGUUUACUUAUGUUCAAUUUAGGUUAAUGUAAAUUUAGUUUACUUAUGUCAAUGUAAAUUAAGUUUACUUAUGUUCAAUUUAAGUUAAUGUAAAUUUAGUUUAGUUAUGUUCAAUCUAGGUUAAUGUAAAUUUAGUUUAAUCAAUCUAGGUUAAUGUAAAUUAAGUUUACUUAUGUUGAGUUAAUGUAAAUUCAGUUUACUUAUUCAAUUUAGAUUAAUGUAAAUUAAGUUUACUUAUGUUCAAUUUAGGGGUAUAUUAGUCAUUCUGAGGUGUAACUUGUUUUUUUUUUUGGGUGUGACUAGCACCAGUCUUAUCAUAAUUUGCAAAUUAAGCGGAAAACAAAAUGAUUUAUUUAAAAAGGAAUAAAAAAAAACAGAGAAGUCACGUGAUAGCACGGUGCUACCACUAGAUUACCAGCAUCUAACGAACACCACUUCUAUCUUCUUCUUAGUCAGAAUAUCACAACAUCAUGUAACAUGAAAGAAUUUUAGUGGUUCACGUUUACAAUUACAACCUCCGAUAAUGGCGUCUAAUCUGCUAACUCUUUCUCUCUCCUCUCCACCUAACUUCCGUUUCAAUUACGCAUUCAAUCUCAACCAUGACCGCCACUUCAUUUCUCUGCUUCCCACUAAACGCCGUCGCAACCGCAACAACCACCGCCGUAAAAUUCUCCGGCCACUUUUAUCCGUAUCAAACACCUUCAGCACCGAAAUUCGUUCACCGGAAUCAGAAUCGGAAUCAUUUCUUCUUCAAGCUCAAACACAGACCAAAGACUCUCCAGUUCUGCUUGACGUCACCGGAAUGAUGUGCGGCGGGUGCGUCUCCCGAGUCAAAACCAUUCUCUCCUCCGACGAUCGAGUUGACUCUGUAGUUGUCAACAUGUUGACUGAAACCGCUGCUGUUAAGCUUAAAAAGCUCGAAGAGGAAUCUACCAGCGUUGCGGAUGGACUUGCUCGGAGAUUGACGGGAUGCGGGUUUCCGACGAAGAGGAGAGAAUCGGGUUUAGGAGUUUCGGAGAAUGUGAGGAAGUGGAAGGAGUUGGUGAAGAAGAAAGAGGAACUUCUUGCUAAGAGUCGUAACCGUGUUGCUUUUGCUUGGACUUUGGUUGCACUGUGCUGUGGUUCGCAUGCUUCACACAUUUUUCAUUCUUUAGGAAUUCACAUUGCUCAUGGUAAUUUUCAACUUCAAAUUUAGGAUGUGUUUGGAUUGAGUUUUUUGAGCUUAUAUAUUUACUGAAGUAAGAACGUAUGAGACAACUUAUGACAUGUUACUUAAGCUUAUUUUCAUAAGCCUUGCAGGAGAGCAGAGAGCUUAUGAAAACAACUUAUAUAAAAAAUUGUUUGACUUUGUUUUAUCUUGUUAUAGAAAUUGUUUAACGCAAAUAAGCGCUUAUGCAUAAGUGUUUAAUUUAGCUGUUUCUCCAAGCAUGAUCUUACCUGAAACACAAGUAAAUACAGCAAGUUCAUUUUGUAACGAAAUUCAGAGACUUGAACAUAACUUGCUUUUCCUUUUGUAGGACCGUUUUGGGAAUUUCUUCAUAAUUCAUAUGUGAAAGGUGGUUUAGCUUUGGGUGCUCUAUUGGGACCAGGAAAAGGUUAGUUUGUUUCUCUCCCUUGUUUAAAUAUACAUCUUUUGAACAACCAUGUUUUAAGUAUUAACUAAUACAUUUUUCUUUUCAGUUAAGGGUUUAUUAAUAUCUUGAUAGAGAAAAUAACAUUUAUUAAUGAUUUUUGUUUAAUAACCGUUUUAAUUACUUCUAUACAAAUGAAAUUUUAUAUAUUAAAAGUUGCUAUUUUUGGUUUUUUAGGGUACUAGUUAGCAAACAAACUCUUUAAAUUCUUAAUGUAUUUAAAAAUUUGAAGACAAUUUUAUUUCAGAUUGUAGUCUUGCCCAUACUGGGAUAUAUUCCUUAAUAAUUUGAAGUUAAUCACAGUGUUACAAUUUUUUAACCGCAAUAAACUGGCGGAAAUGUUGCAGAUUUACUCUUUGAUGGCCUACUUGCUUUUAAGAAAGGAUCGCCAAAUAUGAACUCUCUCGUGGGAUUUGGUUCAAUAGCUGCUUUCAUCAUCAGCUCGGUGAGAUUCUAUGUGGGAUUUGAGUGUUACAAUAAGUUACAAGUCAGUGAAAUUUCGGUUUUAUUUUUUAUUUUUUAUGUGUUGUUAAUUCGAACUUCAUCUGUGUUAUAGAUCUCACUACUUAACCCAGAGCUGGCAUGGGAUGCGUCAUUCUUUGAUGAACCGGUGACUUUCUUUACUUUCAAAUGUCUCAUUAUUUUCCAUUCGAGAAUUUGCUUUUUUAAGUCAAGCAAGAGCAAACUACUACUCAACUUGGCUAGGGAUUUUGCCUGUUUAGAUAUAAUAACCAUUAACUUCACCAUCUUUACUGCCAUUUCAAAUAUUUAUGUUGAUAACAAGCUCCUCAUAUAAGGAUUUUGUCUUUUAGCAUGCAGGUCAUGCUUCUUGGUUUCGUGCUUCUAGGACGUUCUCUAGAAGAAAAGGCAAGGAUUCAGGCAUCUAGUGAUAUGAAUGAACUUCUUGUAAGUAGCAAUGCGGUUCAUCUCUUUCGUUUGAUAAUAUUUCACGAAAUAAGUUUUCAAGAAAAUCGUUGCCUUUUAUGUAUUCUUAGUCCUUCUUAGAACAUUUUUUUAAAUCUUCUUCCAUCUUUUGGCAUCCUUAUUUUAAUCGAAAAGUCUAUUUAUUGAAUAUCAUAAUUGAUCUCUUUUCCUAAAUGUAAAACUUUUUUUUUUUGUAUUUGUGAUCUCUGUAAGAUUAUAUUCCUUAAAAAAUAUCCCUGUGUCGACUUCUAUACCUGAUCAUUUGUGAUCUGGAACCAAUUUUGUGUUUACAAGAACAAAUUGUUGCACAUUUCGUAGGCACAGUUUGAUAGUACAUCAUUAGGCUGGUUGAUGAGACUUGAGUCUUUGGAAGGCUAACUGCUCAAACAAUGUUGGGAUAGACUGUUGUUCUAAUAAGACAUUCCCCUUUGAUGAUUAUACGACCUUUGGAAGCCGCAGCAUAAAUAAGAGAUUGUGAUGGUGUUCCAUUUAAAAAAAAUCAAUCUCAUUUCAACUUUCAUUUCUUCCAUUUUCUGAUAAAUCGUUAUUUCUCAGAAAAACUAGUAACCCAAGAACUGGAAUAUUGGUUAAAGGAAAAAAAAAAGGUUUCUAUGAGUAUUAAGCAUCAUAUUAUGGUUUGAAUUUAAAGACUAGCAGUGUUUUUUGCGGUCAUAUUUUAUAAGUUGGUUUAAUUAUUUUGUCUUACAUGAAUUUGCUGGGGUGAAUGUUUUUCCAGUCGCUAAUAUCUACUCAGUCAAGACUUGUCAUUACAUCAUCAGAAGGUUCCCCAUCUACUGACAGUGUGCUUAGCUCAGACGCAAUUUGUGUGGAAGUUCCAACUGAUGAUAUUCGAGUAGGAGAUUCGGUGUUGGUGUUGCCUGGAGAAACUAUCCCUAUAGAUGUGAGCCUUUCAGACUGUUGGUGAAACUCUGUUUAUGUUAAUUUAUUUAAAGCUAUAUGUGUGGUACCUGAAAUAAGGUUUAAACUUUAAAUGCAUCUGAAGUACCUACAGUGGGCUCAAUCUUCCACCGGUGACCUAUAAUAUUAGCAUUGCCUUAGAAAACAGUAAUGCAAACGUUUAACUUUGAACAUGAGGCAUCCCAUCAUGAUUUAAGAUGGAAUAAAUGAUGAAUCUUGUUGGUUCACACGGUAUUGCUCGCUAACAUUAUAAACAUCUGGACAGGGAAGGGUCAUUGCAGGAAGAAGCGUUGUGGACGAAUCCAUGCUUACAGGAGAAUCACUUCCUGUUUUUAAGGAGGAAGGCCUUACAGUUUCAGCAGGAACUAUAAACUGGGUAUGACUUUGAAAUCAAUAUUGAAUUUUAUGCUGUCUCACUAAAUUUACAGGUGGUGCACAUCUGACAUUUUGAUUUUUGUCCCUUUGACCGGGAAGGCAAUCAUUAAUCUAUUUCAUUUGCCAACAAAUUUCUAUUUCAGGAUGGUCCCUUAAGGAUUGAAUCUUCUUCGACUGGCUCCAACACAAUGAUAUCCAAGAUUGUACGCAUGGUUAGUAUCCCAUCUUCUGUAAUGGCUUAGCAACCAACCGUAAAUUAAGAAGGCUGGCAACAAGAGAAAUAAGGAUGGAACCAAGAAAUCAACUUAUCCCAAGUUAGUUAGGACUUGUUAGUUAAGAGCAGACCUUUAAAGUUAUUAGAGUAGUUAAUUAGUUAGGUUGUUAUAAAUAGAGGCCUGGAGGUAGAUGGAGGCAUGAUGGCCUUUUCGGAAAUAGGUUGCCAUUUACCACCCUUCCAAACUGCAGCAGUGUGAAUACCAAUGGCCACUCAACAAAUAAGUAACAAAAGGAGGUCCUCGAAAUAGAGGUUGGAAGCGCCAAUUCAAAUACACACUUAGUUGGUCAGUCAGUUUAGGGUGGGAGAGACCAGUCUCCAAUUUCCGGGGAAGAAAUCAUUGUAUUUUAAUCUUGCUCCCCCUAACUUCGGAUACCCCUGGUCCAUUGUUAGAGAAGGAUGUUCAAAUAAAUUUCCUAAUUUUCAUUCUGUUGAUCUCUAUGUUCUCAACUAACAUUUUUCAGGAUUGUGAUGAUUAUGUUGAUAUUUUGAGACAUGAAAAUCAAACAUUUGUAAAGUUUCUACAAUAUUACAGCAUUAUCUGGUGAAAUAUAGGUCGAGGAUGCUCAAUCGCGUGAAGCACCUGUACAAAGGCUUGCAGAUUCAAUAGCAGGGCCAUUUGUAUUUAGCAUAAUGGCUCUGUCAGCAGCAACAUUUGCAUUUUGGUAAGCACUUAUAUUUACAUACAAAUUGUUUUAGCUGAUCUGGUUAUGAUUUUUUAAAGUUGGUCCCAAAUGCUGUUGUUUAUUUGAUAUACCCCUAGCUAAUACUAAUUUACUAUGACAUUAUUGAUGUAAUCCAACUUACGUAGCCCCGCCACUUGAAAUGACAAUUAGCUGUGUCCCAUGCCUAUGUUAGUGGCCAAGCUUCUUAGAUUCUUGCUGGAAUUUAUGAUUAUAAUUUUCCCAAGUAGAAAAGUAGAAGAUUUACUUGGAAGAAAAAGGAUGAAAUCUGAUUAUUAUUUCUAAUUAUUGAAGAAGUACAAAUAACAGUUACAAUUUUGAGGACGAUAAAUUUUAUUAACUAUUCGAGAAUUAUGUAAAUAAAAUCUGUCUUAAAACCAUAAAAUUAAGAAACACAGUUUUGUACAUAUAACAAGGAAAUAAAGAAACGGUACAAAUUAAUGAGUGAAAACCCUGGAAAGAAAAUCAGGUAAUAAUACAAUAUUUUUCCUCUAGUUGGUCGAUGGAUAUCUUUCAUUCCCAUCUUACAAAUAAGAUCUCAAAGUUGUUUUUAGGGAAGACCCUUAGUUAAAUACAUCUGCCAACUGACAUAUACAAGAACAUUUUCCAGGUUGCUAUCAAAGCACUUGGAGGAAUUAGGUGUUCAUUGACAAUAUUAAUUAUUAUAGUUGAAUUAUAAAAUAUGCUGCAAAACCAAAAAAUUAAAAUAAGGAAAUAUGGAAACUGUACAAAUCAAUGAAAGAAAAUCAAGUAAUAAAGCAGGCAUCAUGGAUGGUUCAUCUUACCUAUUAACGUUAACAAACUUAUUAUUGCAUUCGUCUCUAGGUAUUUUGCUGGAACACACAUAUUUCCUGAUGUUUUGCUCAAUGAUAUUGCGGGCCCGGAAGGAGAUCCUCUGCUUUUGAGUUUAAAACUCUCUGUAGAUGUUUUGGUAAGUAAUUCUAAACUUGGAUCCCCUGACUUGUUUUUUGUGCUUCAAGUUCGUGGUUAAUACUACAUGGGUGUGUCCUUCCUUUGCCAUUUCUUGAGCAUGGAGCACUCCUAUUUUACUGGAUUUCAGCUUCUGUUGUUGUUCAGGACAUGCUGGACAAAACCUUGCAUACCAUUUUUCUUAGAAAUCUUGAGCUAAUGUAAACAGCUAUCAAUUUGGACUUUCAAAUCGGUAAAAUCUCAGAUAUUGUGAUCUAUAUGAAACUGACUUUACCAGUCGAUCACAAAAUGCAUAAAUGAAAGAGGAAAAGAACAUUUGGGGUCACAAAUGAAUGCAUGAAAGAAGGUCAAGUUUUUAAGAAAGGAAAGUUCAUGCAGGAUAAAGCCGGAUUUUGGUUUUGUACUUUAGUUUCGAGUUAAUUUUUUUACAACUAGUGUUUCCUUUUGUAGGUUGUUUCUUGUCCUUGUGCAUUGGGUCUUGCCACACCAACAGCAAUCCUAGUUGGCACCUCACUUGGUACUUUAUUUAUGCCUUCUGCAUUUAGUAAAUUUAGAUGAGUUUUACUUGAACUGUGAAUACAUACAUUAAAUGUAUCACAUCACUCUUAUGGCGACAAACCUGCUCAUUCCUCAAAUAUCGAAUUAUUAUAUCCAAUUUACAGUUUUCCAGAUUCCCUUCCUUGAAAAAUUGAAUGACAUUAAGAUAUUUUCUCAUUUCAUUUUCCAUUUAACUUAACCGUCUUUGCAAUGACCAGGGGCAAAAAAGGGACUUCUUAUCAGAGGAGGGGAUGUACUAGAACGCUUGGCUGGUGUAAAUUAUAUUGCUCUAGACAAGGUAAAUUUGACGUUCAUGGACUGGUAUCUUUUUCUCUCCUCUUCAUACAGAAUCACAAAUAUUUACAUAUAUAUGUAUGUAUAUGUAUGUAUGCUGUGUAUGUGUCUGUAAUAGAAUCUGGAUACAUUGGCACGAAUGUCAGUUAAUCAAAAUCAAUCUUACACCUAUUUUAUGAAUUUAGUAGCUUGUAUUUCUUAAAGAAAACACUGUUCAAAGUUUGUAGUAUAUUCAUACAUAUCAUAAUUAAAAAAUAUUUACAUUAAUCUUUGAUGAUUUAUUCCUUCAUUAAAAUUUUUUCAGACUAAAUAAAUAUAUACUUUUCAAAUAACAGAAAAUAUUGUCAGUCUGAUCCAUGUUUAUUUUCCUUUAAAAUAAGUUGGAGUUUACGUUCAACAUACUAAUUACUUAUGAUUCAGCAAUAUCAUUGAGCCAGAACAUUUUUUUUUAAGAUUAGGGUUGUGUAGUAUGUCAAGAUUUGAACCAAUGACAAUUGAUAACAUUCAGAAUUUGAGAGAAGAAAUGUAAGUAUGUAAGUCAGUGACUCACUUCUCAUGUUUGCCUUAUUGAUUCAAUCUAUAUGGGAUCCUGUAGUAUAGUGUAAUAUAUAGCUUAUAGGAUACAUAAUAAAUGAACACGAUUAAUUAUUUAAAGAUAAUCCGAAUGCUCUUCCAACUUUGAACAUUGACCAUCAUUUAUCUCAAAAACGAAAAGGAUGAAAAUUUUCUAACACCAAACUUUCAGACAGGAACCCUUACCAGGGGAAAACCAGUUGUUUCUGCCAUUGGCUCUAUUCAUUAUGGAGAGUCAGAAAUUCUUCACAUUGCUGCGGCAGUGGAGAAAACUGCAUCUCAUCCAAUAGCAAAGGCUAUUAUUAAUAAAGCUGAGUCAUUAGAGUUGGUCCUUCCACCCACAAAAGGACAGAUAGUUGAACCAGGUUUUGGAACCUUGGCAGAGAUAGAUGGGCGUUUGGUUGCGGUGGGGUCUUUAGAAUGGGUCCAUGAGCGUUUCAAUACUAGAAUGAACCCAUCUGAUUUGAUGAAUCUUGAACGUGCUUUGAUGAAUCAUUCGUCGAGUACAUCAUCUUCGAAGUAUUCGAAAACAGUUGUCUACGUUGGACGUGAAGGAGAAGGCAUCAUUGGUGCUAUUGCCAUAUCUGACAUCGUGCGUGAAGAUGCUGAAUCUACUGUAAUGAGGUGCUUAUAUUUUUCUUUAUGUGCUCCUCAGAAUUACAACUCAUUUUAGGUAAGUAAUACACUGCUUCCUCUUUCUGGCCAUAUGUGAAAUUGGUUCUCUUUUCCAGAAAGAGGAGCAGUGCAUUUUUUAGUAGCCUUUACUUCAAGCUCAAAUUUAAUGAUGCACCCUUUUCUUACCCAUUUGUUAAUCCCUUGUAAAUUGCAAGAGAGAAAUCUGAUAAAAAUAUUUUGACUAUCUUGGAACCACCCAACUGGUUAUUGGUUAAUGAUGUUCAAUAUAUGGUUAAUGAGUAACUACUGUUGGAGUUAAUAAACUAAUAAUUAUCCCUAAACUGGAAUUUUUUUAUCAGUGCUUUUUUGUAUCUUCCUCUUGUUAUAUGCGCACGCAGUUUUUUCUGACUGCCCAUUCUCCUCGGAGAAAGUUUAUAAAGUUUUUUUUUGCUUCGAGCCGAGUUUACCAUUCACAUCACUAUAUUCAUUUGUAAUAAGUAUAUGUAGAUAUUUUAGUUGAACUAGGCCACCUAACAAAACCGUUUUACAUUUCUCCUUGUGACAUGGGCAUUGCAUUAAAUUGUAUGUACUUGCUAUCAUUAUUUCCUUUUAAGAUUUAGGACUAUUUGCUAAAGUUUGACCAUUCAAAUCUACACUUCGCUCUGGAUUUCAUACCACGUUUAUUUGAAGUACUUGCUAACAUCAAGUGUGUUUUGUUGUUUUCUAAUGCUUGGUGGGUGCAUUUUCCGGCUGACUUUGUUGUCUUUAUUGCAAGGCUCAAGAAGAAGGGAAUUAAAACGGUCCUCUUAUCAGGAGACAGGGAAGAGGCAGUUGCAACAAUCGCAGAGACUGUUGGGAUUGAAAAUGAUUUUGUCAAAGCAUCCUUGUCUCCGCAGCAGAAAUCUGCAUUCAUUUCAUCUCUAAAAGCUGCUGGACAUCAUGUUGCGAUGGUAUGAUGAAGCUAUACCCCCAACGCCUCCACAUAAAAAGAAACUAUCUUUGUAACUCUCUCUAGCUAAGUAGAGAAUCUUGUUAUGAUAAAAAGGUUCUAAUGUAGGGUAGGUUUAGUAGACAGGUUAGAACAAGACAGAGUAGCACAUAUAAGUUGCAUAUUAAAAGUAGAACAUAAAUGUCCAUGAUAUAAAAAAGACAGUACACUUUUUUGUCGGUCUAGACCAUUGGUAUCUGAAAGUCAUAUUGGACCCCAACUAAUCCAAGUUGUGCCGGGUAGACCCAUACAAGGGUGAAAGCUCUCCCAAUGCCUAUUUUUUCAUUCACAAAACUGAACACUUGGCGUCAUGGAAACCAAGCUCCUCUUCACUCGGACCAACAUGCAUUAUAAAUGUCGUACAUUUUGGUUUCACUGAUUAAAGUGGAACCAGAUAGAGCAAAACAGAUUGUCAUUCUAUCUGUAAUAUAUGCCAAUACUACCAUAAAGUGAUAAUGAAUCUGGUCUUAAACAUUGCUUGCAUCUGUUACACUAAAUAAUUGGAUUUCUUUCUAUUUUUAUUUUUGAUGUUAUGAUGCUUAUGGUUGCUCUUCUUUGAAUAGCACGACAAUGGAUCAGCUGCACUUUGAAAUGCUUUUGCUAUAAGCAUAAGCAUCACACAGGAUUUUUAUUAAAGUGCAUCUAUCAAUGAAUAUUGAAUGGAAAAUGGUGUUUUACUAAGAAAUGUUUUCUCUCUCCUUCUCUAAGGUAGGUGAUGGGAUAAAUGAUGCACCCUCUUUGGCUGCAGCUGAUGUUGGGAUCGCUCUGCAGAAUGAAGCUCAAGAGAAUGCUGCCUCAGAUGCAGCAUCCAUCAUACUUCUGGGCAACAAAAUUUCACAGGUAUGUCAUUAUGAUGUCUGGGAUUCAUUAAGUGUCAUUAAGUUUCUUUUUCAUUCUUUAGUUUAUAGUGUGGUACUUCUACAUAAACCCUCGUGGUUCUGUUAAGACUGCAUACUUGGAACACCAGCCACCAUAUAUGGCUUUCCGUCCUUUUGUUUCCUGACUUUUUAACGGACAGGUUAUUGACGCAUUGGACCUAGCACAGGCAACGAUGGCAAAAGUUUACCAAAAUUUGUCCUGGGCAGUAGCAUACAAUGUUAUUGCCAUUCCCAUUGCUGCUGGAGUGUUACUUCCCCAAUUUGACUUUGCUAUGACACCUUCACUUUCAGGUGAGCAACCUUGUACCACUAAUUUAUUUUUAUGUUACAGCGGGGCAUAUAAAGCUCUAUUUUCGUACCGUACUUUCAGUUUUUCUUCAUAUAUUUUCUGCACACACCCUACCAUAUCGUUUUUCGAAUAUAUUUUCUCUGUCAGCGGACAAAUGGUUAUUUCUUGUUUGUUACCUUUGAUAUUUAUUUAAUCAUCACAGGAGGACUAAUGGCUAUGAGCUCCAUCUUGGUGGUUAGCAACUCACUGCUUUUAAAGCUUCAUGGGUCUCCGACCUCGGGAAAGGGCUCACUCUAGUGACAUGUUAUCUUGUCUCUAAAGUAUAGGAUUCAAAUUUUCAUCUGUAUCAAUUAUUUUUUUACUACGAAAAUAUCAAUAAUUAUUGUAUAUCUUCUUCUGUAACUAACAAUAAACAUUAUGGUAGAUUGUCAAAAAAACAAAUAUUAUGGUAGAUAUAAUGUAAUUCUCUCAGAGGAUAAGUUUGAAAAAAUAAUAGAAAUAAUAAAUUUAAUACUACUGUAAAUUUUCAUUUUUUAGUAAAAAAUAAGAAAUGAUAUAACUUUUACAAAAUACUAUAAGAGAUUACUUUUGAUCAACAAGGGCAAUUUUAAUAUAACUUUUUCCUUCAAAAAUAUAACUUUUAUCAAUUGAGAAAUGAUUUUGAAACAAAAAACAAAAGAAUGGUAAUAUUUGUAUAACCAUUCCUUCAAAAAAAUAUUUGUAUAACCAUAAAAAAUAAUGGGUCAUUUUAGAAAGAAAAGAAAAUUGGGAUCGCGUUUAUAAAAUAAUAAUGGAUCAUUGAUUUUGUAAAAAUAUUUUUAUUUUCAUUUUCUAUAAUUUGUGUUAGUUUUAUUUGUUAAUAAAAAGAAGGGUUAAUUGUGCUUUACCCCCUGUAAUAUAGGUCGUUUUUUAUUUUCCCCCUGUAAAAUAAUUUUUUUGAUUUACCCCCUAUAAAUUUUUUUUUUUUUACGAAAAAAUUCUGCAAAAAAAAAUAAAGUCGUUUUUUUAUGAUCUAUUAGGGGGGUAUUCCAAAAAAAUAAAAAUUUACAGGGGGUAUUCCAAAAAAAAAAAAAAUUACAGGGGAAAAAAUAAAAAUAAAAAAUUUGAGGGGGAAAAACCAAAAAUGAACUAUAUUACAGGGGGUUAAAGCACCAUUAACCCUAAAAAGAAAAGAGACUAUGUCCUCGUAACUUAGCUGCAUAAUACGUGCAAGGUCCGGGGUUCAAUCAUCGGCCUCAACAAAAAAAAAAAGAGACUAUUGGAGUAAACAGUUGCAUUGCAUUUUAUUUUGUACAUAGAAGAAAUGACAAAGUCAUCAUAAACUCACACACAUAGAGUGGAGGUGUUGAAGUUUGAACCCCAAUCAAAAAGUCGGGCUUAACAAUUUCGACAUUUUACCGAUUGAGCUAAAACUAAUGGAACGUUGCAUUGCAUUUUUUAAACAAUGAAAAUGUCAUCUUCAUUGUCUCAUGAAAUGCAUAAUCUUUAAAUAUUAUUUUUUCCCUUUCGGCAACAGUUAAUCGCUUUAAAAGUCCGUGUUCUUCUCGUCAGCAAGUUAAAACAAACACAUUUUAAUAAAUAAAACAAAGUAUUUUCACAAAGAAAACAAACCUUCCCAAUAUCACCUUUUAUAGGUGAUAAAUUUUGAAUCCAUGAAACAAACAGCUACUAAAAAUUUGGAUGAGAAUGACUAAUUUGAACUAAUAGAUUAACACUUUUGUUUAGCCCCUAUGAGUUUAGCUCAGUAGGGACAAAUGUAUAAUAUAUGUAGGGGUCGUGGUUCGAACCUCGAACAUCCCAUUUCUCUACAUUUAAAAUGUGUAAGCUUCAACCACUAGGCUACAAGUCAAAAAUAAAAUAAAAUUAACACUUUGUUUGAGUGUCAAAUAGAGAAACAAUGAAGAGAAAAAUAAGAGAGAAGGGAAAUAAAAGAGAAGUUGAGUAGAAACUUUGUAAUCUUUGAUGAAUAGAAUAGAGACGAGAUAAAUAUAAAACCUUCUUUUAGAUAAAUGAAACGAGUAGAUUGAAAUUAAUACCGAUGACAAAACCCCUAAAAAAAAGUAAUGGUAACAGUUAAAUUUAUAAAAUUAUAAUCUGAAUAUAAUUUAUUAUGUUUAUUUGGAUCAUGCUUAUUAGUAUCGUGGAGAACCAGUCAACGAAGUAAAAAAAAAAAAUUAAGUUAAAAAUGAAAUUUUUUUAAACUUUUGAGAAAUUAACUGCACUACUUAACAUAUUCCUUACAAUUUUCACACUCUUAACUUUUGAGUAGUGUUAUUUGAACAACUCUUUUAAUACAACUUUUGUGACAAUCUUGUUAUUUUUUCUUCUCAUUGGUCAAUAACAAUGGAUAGAGAAAAAGGAAGAGAGAGAAUAAAAAGAUAAUGUGAGUAUGAGAGAGAAAGUUGUACAAAAGUGGUUGUACAAAUAUCAUUUCUCUAACUUUUUCACUCAACCGUUUUUUUCUUCGGACAAAAAACAUUCUUAACUUCAACUGCUCAUUAGUUUUGUAUUUUGUUAAUAGUAAGUAAAUAAAUGGUAUAUAGGCCUAAAGUAAAGAAAUCGUGGUAUUCCUACAUCAUAUGAACGUACUUUCAGUACAUAAAACAUGAGACAUGUUACAACUUGCUAGGCAAAAAAAAAUAAAAAAUGUUAUGAAAAAUCUCUUUUCAACGCUCUCUUUUUUAUUAGAUAAAAUUAAUGUAUGUCCACCACUUUAAGCGGAAUCUAUUUCUACCCACCUUAAUUUAAGCCAAAUAAAAAGUGAGUGUUUGAGAGAGUAUUAAAAAGAGAGCGUUGCUAGCAGUUUUAAAACAAAUAGGAGAGACAAUAACAGGAAAAAAUAAUUACCUAUCACGCCUACAUUAUCAAGAGAAAAUUAAAGUAAUGGAGGGACAAUAUAUAUGUUAAUCCCUUACGUUUCUUCACCAGUCUAGCCUAAGAUGGAGAUAUUAUUUGUUGGCUAUUGCAUUAUUUAUCUCUCUCCUUGUUCUUUUCUCUUUGGAAUAAUAGAAAUAUAUUCAAUUUCUUUUUCAUCUCUAUUUCUUUCUUACUUCUCUCAUCUAUAAAUCUACUCAAACAAAUAUUGUUUUAGAGAUCAAAUUGCCAUUUUUAGAGUUAAAAGACUAAGUUGAACACUAAAUUUAAGUAAAGUGACCAAGAAGAAGAAAAAGGUAAUGAAGGUUUUAUAAAACUUCAAAAACAACAUGAUGUCAAUGCGAGGAAAGUUGGUAACAUGACUUAUCUUAGAAAAAGAGUACGAAUUUGAUUUUUGAAACACAUAUUUGUGACAGAGAUUAAGCUUGUAUCAAAGUACAUUUAUUUAGGGUGUCCAUUCAAGGUUUAGAAAAUAUUAAAUUGAAUGCUGAUUCAAAAAUAAGAGACUAAAAUAUAUUUUACAAUAUUUUCAUAAUAUUUAUGCUCAUGUUCAACUAUCAUUUCUCCCUCAGGUUUUCUUUUCAUUUUUAGAUUAACAAAAGUCUGUACUCAAAUUCAGCAUAAACAUACAAAAUCGUUAAAAUUCCUAGCAAAAGUUUAACGUCCAUUUGAGUCGUACAAAACUCGAGAAUUAGUCUUCAUUGAUUACGCACGAAGGUUAUUAGUUAAAAAAGGCUAAUUUACACAAUUGAUGCAUGUCUAGAUGUCCUAUUAUCUAAAAAAAAAAAAUCAACAAAAUAAAUAAAUAGGGUAAAUCGUCCCGUAAAGAUUGGGAAAAAACAAAAAAUGGAUACGGUGAAGCGAAGGUGAAGGCGUAAAGAGAAAUCGAAAAGGUGAAGUAACCGAUAAAGAUGGUGACGUGUCGAAAAGGAUAUAAAUAUCGUGCAGUUUCGUCAUUCAAGUUUUUGACUCAUAGUUGUACCCGUUAGAGCGGGAACCCCCCAAAUUUCAUUUCAUUUCACUUCAACCCGUAAGUCUCACUCUUUCUUUCUCUUUCUCUCUCUAACAACUCUUCUGUUAGGGUUUCACUUUUCAUCCAUUCUUCUCGUCUUCUUCACCAUGACUCUCCGCAAGGGUUCCAAGGUUUGGGUUCCUGACAGGGAUUCCGCUUGGCUUCCUGCUGAAGUCCUCGAAUCUUCCAAUAAACAACUUCGCGUUCAAACCGAUUUCAGCAACAAGGUGAUAAUUUCGUUUUUGAAUUGAUUUGACUUGCGAGUAAUUCAAUUGAAUGCUGAUUUUGUCAAGUUCGUUGUAGCAGAUUGUUGUUGUUGCUCCGGAGAAACUGUUUCCGAGAGAUGCGGAUGAAGAUGAACACGGUGGAGUUGAAGAUAUGACGAGAUUGAUUUAUUUGAAUGAACCAGGGGUUUUGUAUAAUAUUCGGAGAAGAUAUUUGAAUAAUGAUAUUUAUGUAAGUCUUUGCUAUCUACUUCAGUUUACUCUUCAGUUUUUAUAAUCUCUAUUUAUUGGAGUGAUGUACUUGAUUAUGGAAUUGUGUUAUUGUACUUAAUGAAUCUGGAAAGGUAAUUAGGUAAUUAGGGAUUGGUACAUUCGUGUAAUGAUAGCUCGAUUGCAUUACUAGAUUAUCAUAUGUAGAUAGUAGAUACUGUUAUUUUAUGGAAAGUCUUGUUCUCUCUGCCACAAUUUCACUGAAGCAUAUCAUAUACGAGAAGAAAACAUAUGGUUUAUUGUCACUCUCUGUUUCUGAACUUAAAUUAAUGCGUUCAUUUAUGAAGACCUUUUAUAGUGGGUUAUCAGUACUAUAUCACACCACAUUCAAGUGUGCAUUACUUACCUUACUUCACUUGUUCGCUGAUACUGACAAGUCCACUACAAUUGCCUAAACUAGUGCAUAAUAAAUAGCUAUAAGCACUUCCUUUUCCUUUUUCGUAAUUUCACACAAUGAAAUUUAUUGUAAGAUAUUUUCUGUGGGUACUUUUUUUGUUUUAAAUGGCAAAUCUAGCAAUAAAAUAUAUGAGAAAGCUGAAACAAAGUACAAGUCGUACUUAGGUCCAGGGGAGAAUUUUGUGGGCACUGUUUAUGACACUCCUUAACAAAAUGCAUCAUGCACUAUUUUAUGCAUUUUGUCUGACUUGUCUGUCUUUGUUAGACAUACACGGGGAGCAUUUUAAUAGCUGUCAAUCCAUUCACAAAGCUUCCUCAUUUGUACAAUAACCAUAUGAUGGAGCAGUAUAAGGGAGCUCCAUUUGGUGAGCUCAGUCCACAUGUAUUUGCCGUUGCUGAUGCAUCAUAUAGGUUGGUGUGCUUUUGGUUUUGGUGUUGUUUAAUACUUGCCAUUUCAUUUUCAAGUUAGUAAGUUUCUGUUGGUCAUGAUUUAGAGCAAUGGUGAAUGAAGGUCAAAGCCAAUCUAUCUUGGUCAGUGGUGAAAGUGGUGCUGGGAAAACUGAGACAACAAAAUUGAUUAUGCAGUAUCUUACCUUUGUUGGUGGGCGUGCUGUUUGUGAUGAUAGAACAGUUGAACAACAAGUUCUUGAAGUAAGCUAUCAUUGUUAGGUGAUUAAUUCACUUAGAAUUUUUAUUUAUGCAUCAAUAUCGGGUGCUAAUUUCACCUUUUUCUUUACUCAGUCGAAUCCGCUUUUAGAGGCAUUUGGCAAUGCAAGGACCGUCAGGAAUGACAAUUCAAGGUGAACUUAGUUCUUUGUAGUUUACAUCUUAUGCCAAUCUCUAGUUUUUUUUUUCCCCACUUACCUCUUAGAUUAUAAGAAGAAUAAUAUUGCAUUGAGUCCUUUUCCAUGUUAUGAUCCGGUCUUAUCUUUUUAUUCAUCCAAAGCUUGCUAUCUACAUAACUAUAUCUAUAAUUGUCACAAUCUCAGUCAUGUCUAUAUCAGAUCCAUCUAGAACCAGAGUUGAAUGUUUUGAAAACACUGUUAUGUAACAAUAAAAAGAAAAUCUUAUGGGUUGUCAGCCAUUUUAGGUGUUCAAGUUUGCUAGUAAAAUGGUUAGUGACUGCACCAUUUAUAAUCUAAAAGUAUGUAAAUUAGAAGAGAGUUCUGGGAUGUUAUCGAAAACUAACGCCCAUAUGUACGUAUCAGGGACUAAAUUCAAGUAUUGACGGUAGGAAUAUGUGUUGAAGUUUGAAAGUUUGAUGUUUGAUGUUUAAGUAGGUGGAGUGGAAAAAUAUUACAUAGGUUUUACUUGCUUUAUUAGAUAAUUAUAAUUUUCGGAUGUGUUAUGAGUUAACAUUUUACAUAUUUGUAGAAACCUUAAAGCGAGCAUGUCAAAUACCCUUUCCCUGAAAUUGUAAUUGCUAACAGUGAAAGACCAAUGCUAUGAAUAUUUUUGUUUGUUGCAGCCGUUUUGGGAAGUUUGCUGAAAUUCAGUUUGAUUCAAGUGGUAAAAUAUCUGGUGCUGCAAUUAGAACUUACUUAUUGGAAAGAUCACGAGUAGUGCAGACUACGGAUCCAGAAAGAAAUUAUCACUGCUUUUAUCAGUUGUGUGCAUCUGAAAGGGUACUUGACCUCCGGUGUAGUAUAUAUUUGAUUAUAUAUUUUGGUGUUAGUUUGCAUCAUAAUACUAUUUUUUACAAAUUCAGGUUACUAUUCUCAUUUUGUUACAGUUGAUGUACUAAUUGUUGUUCUUUGCAAUUGGAAUGCCUCGAUUUUAGGAUGUAGAGAAGUACAAGUUAGGACAUCCAAGCCACUUCCACUAUUUAAAUCAAAGUAAAGUUUAUGAACUAGAUGGGGUAAGCAGCGCAGAAGAAUACAUAAAGACGAGAAGAUCAAUGGAUAUUGUUGGCAUCAGUCACGAGGAUCAGGUGUAAUGAUGUCAUCCACUAGCACAUUUAUUGAUUUAUUGUAUGUUGUCAUGAAUUUGUUUACAACCUUCCCUUAUAGUUAUCCUUUCUUCCUAUUAACAGGACGCCAUAUUUCGCACCUUAGCCGCAAUCUUACAUCUGGGAAAUGUUGAAUUUUUUCCUGGGAAAGAACACGACUCGUCAAUAAUAAAGGAUGAGAAAUCAAUAUUUCACUUGCAGAUGGCUGCUAACCUUUUCAAGUAGGCAAUUUAUGUUAUUUUCAGAGCAUUAUUUAGUUUGUAUGAAUCAUAUUUUAAUUUGGGUGUGUUAUUGUUUAUAAGGGUAUCCGCUGUUAUUUGUUUUUCCUAUUACAUAUUUUUUUUUAUAAAUUAGGAAUAGGAAUCAAUCUAUUAUAUAUUUCUAGUUCCAUUUAAUACUAAUCCAAAACCUAAAUAAGUUGUAAUUAAUAGUGGUGAAAGAGUUUGUACUAUUUAUGGAGGAAUAUAGAAUCAAAGAAGAAACCAAUAUUUCUUGACCUGGUAUCAGAUCCUUCUAGUUAGAACUAUGAUUUCUUUCCCGUGACAUACUAUUGGGACGUCAAUGGGGCGGGUAUGGAGAGUACUUCCCCGCUACUCAAAUCCUCCCCAUCCCCAUCCCUGCAGAUCCCCAUCAACAUGAAAAAAACAACUAAAUUUCUGCUAUUUUCAACCAGUUAGUUGGUAAAAGAAAAAAGUUUAACUAUAAAGCAAAUAUAGCAUUAAGACAUUACUGCAAACAUUACAUAUAAACUAAAAUUCUACACAUUCUGUGAAAAGACAAAUAAAUAUAACAUGUCAAAUAUGUGUAUAUACAAAUAUAAAAAUACUUGAACAUGUUGGAUGCUUGGUUGUUUCUCCUUAAUAUUUAAUAACUGAUCAUAAUUUCACAAAAGUUUUCAUCCUUUGGUAGAUCUAAUUGAAUGACUACGCUACAACUGUUCUCUCUUUAGGUGUGAUCUGAACCUACUGCGAGCAACAUUAUGCACUCGUUCAAUACAAACCCGUGAAGGAAAUAUUGUCAAAGCUCUGGAUUGUAAUGCCGCUGUUGCUGGCAGGGAUGUUUUGGCGAAAACCGUCUAUGCUCGUUUGUUUGAUUGGUAUGCUCAUUAUCAAUGUGGAAUUGUUGAAGAUUUUUUUUCUUUUUAUCAUGCACAAAUUGGGGGAAAGUUCUAUUUAUUUUUUGUUGUUCUACCAGGCUUGUUGAUAAGAUUAAUAAAGCGGUUGGGCAAGAUAUCAAUUCCAGGAUGCAAAUUGGAAUAUUGGAUAUAUAUGGUUUUGAGUCUUUUAAGGAUAACAGGUAAGAUGUUUUCAAGUACAUGCUUUUCUCUUGGAGGUGAAGGAAUUUUCUUUUGGUCAUGUGUACCAUUUACAGUUGAAGUGUGUGGGUUAACUGUGUAUUUGAAGUAUUAGAAUAUCCUGGUGCGUGGAUCAGGCAUGCGUAUCUACUUUCCAUUUCUCUAGUGUUCGUUUAAGUUAUAAUACUUUCAGUAAUAGAAAAAACUCCAUAGCGCUCAGCCAUUUGAUUAUUAGUUUAUUACUAUUUUUAGAUUUUUUUUUUGUAUUUCUAUUAUUAGAUUUGAUUUUUCUGUUGCUGUUAUUUUGAAUUUUUUUAAAUGACCAAUGCUAGUAUGUUCACAUACAUUAUUGUUAUGUUGUGGGUGGGCCGGUGGGGAUAGAACCCUCAAUCUCCAUAUCACUCGACUCCUUAAGUACCCUAUCCCAACUGCCAACCCAACCCCCUUGCUGUUAUUUUGAAUCAGUAGAACUAAAAUGGGGUAAUGGAAUAGAAUCUAAUUGUCUAGGUUUGGUAGGGAGCCAAAAAUUGGAUCAUAUAACCAUAUCAAUGGUCAGACAGUUUGAGGCCCUAGGAUCCAUUAUAGAAAAUGAUGAGAAAAUAGAGGGAGAUGUCAAUUAAGGAUUAAAGCAAGGUGUCCGAAAUUGAUAAAUACUAAUUACACCAAAAAUCACCACUGAAGCUUAAAAUAAAAUCUUCGUGUACAACUAUAACACCUACAGUAUUGUAUAAUGCUUAAUUUGACAGUGAAGAGCCAACAAGAAAAUAAAUUUAGUGUUGAAGUCUUAGAGAAGUGAGAAUCUUAUGAUAGCAUGCUGUGGUGUUGUUGUUUGAUCUAUGUAGCUGACGCCACUAAGUGGGGAAAAGCUUUGGUGAUUGUUGUAGUUUUAAACUGGCAACUAGGUUAAAGCAAUUGCCUUUCUCAACUCGGAAACAUUUUCUUGAACAGUUUUGAGCAAUUCUGCAUCAAUUUUGCAAAUGAAAAGCUUCAGCAACAUUUUAAUGAGGUAUGGAAUUAUGUUAUGUAUUUUAAUUGCAUUCACCAUGCUAGUUGCCUGGUGUUUUGAUCUGGAACUUGAUAUUGUUCAUACUUUGUCAUCAUCUUAUAGCUUCUUUGUCUCUUGUCAUUUUUCCCAGCAUGUGUUCAAGAUGGAGCAAGAAGAGUAUAAAAAAGAAGAAAUUGAGUGGAGUUACAUUGAAUUUAUAGACAACCAAGAUGUUUUAGAUUUGAUUGAAAAGGUUUUUUUGCUUGAUUUCUUCUUUAGCUGUUUCAGAAGAUUAUGAAUUUUGUCAAUUUAUUACAGUAGGCCACAGCUAGUGAAAUUGAAAAAGGAAGUUAUGAAUCAGAAUGGUAACUGCUUAGCUAUACACAAAGCUUCAAAACCUUUUUUUUUCUUCCCGUUAUUCUGUGUUUUAUGUCUACUGUUUCAAUCUCUCUCAAUUUAUAUGACUUCCUCGGAAUGGUGGGAUGUGCAUAACUAUUGGUUGGGUUCAUUCAAAUUUCAAACAAUAAGCUGGUUAAACCGGCAUAUCUAGAAUUUACUUGACGAAAAUCAUGCCAAAAAUAUAUCAUGUUGCUUCGUUUGGAAAUGAAGUUCCGAGUUUGCAUCAUACAGACGAGUAUGUCACUUUUUUCUCUUGAUUAAGUUUCUUAUUGGUUUCUUGUGUAUUCUUUUUGCAGAAGCCCAUUGGUAUCAUUGCCCUGUUAGAUGAAGCUUGGUACAAUUUAUUUGCUUUAUGGAUUGGUGUGCAUUUAUAUAUUGCUCUCUUGCAAAUUAUAUCCAGUCCUGAAUUUGUCUUCUUUCAGCAUGUUUCCAAAAUCAACGCACGAAACAUUCUCAACCAAGUUGUUUCAGCACUUCUUGUCCCACGCUAGGUUUGGAAAGGAGAAGUUUUCAGAAACAGAUUUUACUGUUUCUCAUUAUGCUGGAAAGGUUAUUCAGUGUUGCUGUACUUUCUCUUGUUUGGCAAAGUGUAUCCUGUAAUGUAAUAUCUUCCGAUAUUUUUAUGCAGGUCACAUACCAUACAGACACUUUUUUAGACAAAAAUCGUGAUUAUGUAGUUCUAGAGCAUUGCAAUGUAUUAUCUUCCUCAAAAUGCCCCUUCGUGUCGAGUCUCUUUCCUUCUUUACCAGAAGAAUCCUCAAGGUCAUCCUACAAGUUUUCUUCUGUGGCUUCCAGAUUUAAGGUGUACAUAUCUAUUACCUUUAGGGUGUUAUUGAAUUUAAGGUGAUUCAUUAUUGCGAAAAAAUUUGCGUAAGAGAUUAAAUAAUUUGAAUUUAAGUUGCUGAUAAUUUCUGUUUCUUGUCUGUGUUGGAUUUGGUGGAUGUGCACCUCAGCAACAACUUCAAGCACUUAUGGAAACACUUAAGACAACAGAGCCUCAUUAUAUUCGAUGUGUCAAGCCAAAUUCUUCGAACCUACCACAAAAGUUUGAAAAUACAAGUGUCUUGCAUCAAUUACGCUGUGGGGUCAGUAAUUUAGAUAUUUUAGCUCCUUCACUGUUAUCAUUCUCUGAAACACAAAUUGCCAUUAUGUCGGAAGUUGUUUCCUUGACUGUUGUCUUGGUAAUUACUGUCGAUCUGUGCAGUUGUUAUUCCUGUGUGUUUUGCACCGAUUUGACUGUACAAAUAGUAUGUUACUUUGAUGGUUUUAUCAUUUGAUUUCUGAGAAUUUCUUUUUUAUGUGUUAGCCCAUUGAAUUGAGCAAUAUGGAAACAAGGACUUUUUUUAUGAAGUAAUUUGAAGGGUUUUUUUUUAAUGACUUUCAAAAUUUGAGUUAAUGUUUUAUAUUGUUAAUUUCUUUCCUUUUUCAAAUGGAAAUUGAUAUGGUUUGACUGAUAAGUUUACAUGCAUACAAAACAUGAUGUGGGAUUUAUUCAGUUUUCUUGGAAAUAAGGUGUCCCCUCAGUAGCAAGAUCUUGACUUUGUAACCUCAAGGGAGAGUUCGAAUCCCUCCAAGGACAGUUGUAAAAUGGCUAUUAGUGCCACCAUUAUUUAUAAAAAAUCCCCCUUCCCCAAUUUUUUAAAAAUAAAGGUGAACAUAACAAUCAUGUUUGUCACCAAGAUAUUCUCCGAAGCAGAUUCACAUUUUCACUGAACAUUUAUUUUAUUUUUUUUGCACGGACUAUAUUUUAUUUAGGGUGUACUUGAGGCUGUUCGGAUAAGUCUGGCAGGUUACCCAACUCGAAGGACUUACUCGGAGUUUGUAGAUCGAUUUGGAUUAAUAGCUCCUGAAUUUAUGGAUGGAAGGUGAAUAUACUAAAACUGUAAACAGUUGAACCGUAAUAUUGUUUGUUUUUGUUAACGGUAUCACUGCAUGUGUAAUUUUAAUGGGAUUGAUGUUUACCUAAUAGUCUAUCAAAUCGGAAAAUGAUUUGGCUAUUGUUUGGAUUAAUUAAUGUUUAUGAAAGUUUAACAGUAAAAGGGUGAGAUUGAAGGCUCAAAGGCUUGACCAAGUUUGAGCUAGUCGUAACUUGAAUAAGGUUUACAUUACUCACAGAGCAUCAAAAUAUACUAAAGUUUAUCACACUCUGUAGAUAAAAGGUUGAAUUUUAUUAGGUUUUGAUAUGUCAAGUCCUCAAGUGGAGGAGGAACUGUAUAAAUAUCUCAGUAAAUUUAGGGAUCAUAGUUACCAGGUUUGGUCUUUAGUCCACUCUACCCUUGUAAUUGCUUUUGGUUUUUAAGUAGGGUUGGAGCAUAAUUACCAGUUUUGCAAUUCGCUGGUUACAUGGUACGGGUAUGUGGUUCGCAAUCUACCAAGAAUUUGGUACAUGAGGGGUAUACAGGGUCGGUACGCUUGGGUUCGUAAUAUAUACAUAUUGAUAUACUAAUAAUUAUACUAUCAUCAAAUUUUGGUCCAGUUAAAAAAAUGAAAUUACAUACCGUGUUCUUUUUAACAUAAGUAUGAAAUAAAAAAUGAUUAGUUAACAAAAAAUUAUGAAAUGAAACAUGAAAAAGAACUAGAAAGGGUCAAAGGAGAGGGCUGACUGUAUCACAUUACCCAGUCAAAAGGUUACAUGGGGGAGAUAAAUUUGAUUUACCAAAGCAUCUGAAAACCACUUCAUUUUCCCAUACAGCUUCAUCUUUAUUGCCAAAAUAAAAGAUAUUGCGUCAUUCUAUCUCACUUUCUAUUGGUUUUUUGGCUGGCUACUUCCAUCUUCACUUGUUCGCCACUUCCAGGAAAUUACAAAACGAAUUUGCACGAAUUGGUACGGAGAAGUACCGUGAACCAGUACGUGUGGUUCGUAUGUCUCAUGGGGGAGCAGCAAAUUUUGUGACUAUGAGUGGGAGGGAGCCUUUGAUUUAUUCAACAUAACAAUUAAAAUUUUGCACUGGUUUCUGGUUUACUCCUUGACCAAGCCUGUUCAUUUGGUUAUUAAAAAAUUAAACCAAAAGUAGUUAUAAGAGUUGUUAAGAGUCCCAUAUUGGAUGGGAUAAGGUAUGGAAAUGAUUUUAUAAGAGGAGGCUGUCCUCACCUCCAAACCGGUUUUGUAAGGGUUGAGUUAGACCAAACCAAAUUGUAAGAUGGUAUGGGAGCCUAUCCAAGAUACAUUGGGCCACCCGAUACUGGGUCACACUCCAAAUAUCCAGUCCUAGGCGCGAGGGUUGUGUGUUAAGGGGCAAUCCUCACCUUACAAGCCGAUUUUGUAAGGGUUGACUUGGAAAGGUAAUGGGCCAGCUCUCCUAUUAUCUAGUUGAAAUAGCUAGCUUGAUCUAGUCAUGAUGUAUAAGACCAUCGGUUAGGAUACUUGCAACCUCAUUUGUGGUUUUAUUUUGCUGAACCAAAAGACAAAGAUACAAAGCAAGUAGGCUUUAAAUCUGCUUAUUUGAAAUUAUGAUUCUUCAUUUACUAAAGGAAAUUGUUCUAGUUAGUUUAUUUUUUUUCUUGUAGCAUGGACUGCAUUAUCUUGAAGUGAUUGUAUAUGCAUUUUAGCUACAAUAAUGUCGGGACAACAAUACAACAAGCUCUUUUUUAGUAUUUAAUUAAGAGAUCAGUGCUUUCAGUUCUCAUUAAUGUUGAUCUAAACUUUUUGUUGACAGUUAUGAUGAUAGAGCUACAACUCAGAAAAUAUUGCAAAAGCUAAAGCUUGAGAAUUUUCAGGUGUGUUUCUUAUGAGCCAUGUGUUCUGCUGUUGUUCCCGAACAAACUUGGAAUAUAAGAGUACAAAUGACUUUAUGAUAGUUAUGUUUAUGAUUUUUCUUCUUAUUCAGCUGGGUAGGACUAAAGUGUUUCUCAGGGCUGGUCAAAUUGGUAUUUUAGACUCUAGGCGGUCUGAAGUUUUGGACAAUGCUGCGAAGUUUAUUCAGCGUCGACUGCGUACAUUUAUUGCACACAGGGAUUUCAUCUCAAUCCGAGCUGCUGCUGUUUCUCUUCAAGCAUGCUGCAGGGGUCAGUGUUGUUGAUGUUUAAUAAAAUAACUUCCCUUAAGUUCUCCAUUAGAAUAUUUUUUUCUUUCUCUUUUACGUUGCUUUUUAAAACUCGUUGUCAAUAAAUAUAUAUUGGAGCACUUUAUCUCCUUGAAGAUUCUGUCAGUAAUAUAACAAUACAUAGCUUCCAUUUUUUGCUUUGGAUAGUACUUGAUUUGUACUUUUGGCUGUCAGCCUUUCAGAACCCUUUGAACUCAAUUAUACUUGUUAUUUGAGGCAUAUCACAUGUAAAUGUAGGGGUCUCCAUUUCCACCAAUGAUUGUCCUGGUUUUUAUCAAUUCUUGUUUUUGUAGGUUGCCUUGCACGGAAGAUAUAUGCUUCUAAACGGGAGACUGCAGCAGCUAUCUCUAUUCAGAAGUAUAUUCGUAUGUGUCAGAUGAGGUGUGCUUACAUGACACUGUAUUCUUCUGCUAUCAUCAUACAAUCAAAUGUUCGUGGUUUCACAAUUCGCCAAAGGUUUUUGCAUAGAAAAGAACACAAAGCUGCUACUAUUAUUCAGGUGUGUCAUCAUGAGAUGUAUGUAUUAUGGUGUUGGUGUGAUCUUUAAAAUGUCAAAGCAAUAGCCUUUCACCGUCAUCAUUUUGAUAGAUUUAAUUUAUUUUACUUAUUCUGGAUAGUGCUUUGAAUUCUUAUGCAUACAAUUAUGAUUGAUCGUGUGAAACUUAUAUCUCACGUAUGCUUUCCUAUGGGGCAUGAUCAAUAAUGCCUCACUUUCAAUUGCUUGACAUUUCCUGUUGGUAUGGUCGAUUCUGAUUUGUUAUUUUAUCACAUUCACACAUAGGCGUAUUGGAGGAUGUGCAAGGUUCGGUAUGCUUUCAAACAACUUCAAUUUUCAAUUGUGGCAAUACAAUGCCUUUGGCGCUGUAAACAAGCAAAAAGACAGCUCCGCAGACUGAAACAAGUAUUUCCUUUUUACUUUUUUCUUAUUUUGAAAGUGGGAAAUGCAUCAAAAGUGGUUCUAACUUAUUUUCAUUUUAAUUUACCUAUGCCAGGAGGCUCGUGAAGCUGGUGCCUUGCGUUUAGCUAAGACUAAUCUGGAGAAACAAUUGGAAGAGCUCACAUGGCGUUUGCAUCUUGAAAAAAAAAAAAGGGUAUUGCUUCUACAAAAAGUUGUCAUGGAUAUGCUAUCUGUGCUUAUCUUUGAGUACCUGUAUAUGUGAAAGUGUUUUGACACGUUAUAUUUUGUUGCUUCUUCCACAUUCUAUUAUGAGUUUCUCUCAUGCUUAUUCCAUGAUUAUUUUAUUUUGGUAUUCAAAUGACUUAAAUUAGAAACUGUUGAUAUUAGCCAAUUUAGUGUAAUAAUGCUUAUGCUAAACAUAUUGAUAUUACCAUAUCAAUCUCAUAAGUAGAAAAUUGUCCUAAUGUGAUGUUUUUUGGUUUAUUUUUGGAAGGUAUGCUCAUAUUUUCAAGUUUGUUUCUUUUGCCUAUAAAAGUUGUCUGAUUUAAAAUUGUACAUAUGAUUUCUCUUCGCUGGUCAACACAUGGUUUAUUUCAGGAUAUUGGUAUUUCAGAUGUUCAAAGGGAUCAGACAUCUCUUUCACAUUGACUAUUUGUGCAGGUUUCUAAUGAAGAGGCUAAGCAAAUUGAGAUUUCCAAACUUCAAAAGAUGCUGGAAGCUCUGAAUUGUGAAUUGGAUGGAGCUAAAUUGGCAACUAUUAAUGAGUCGAAUAAGAAUGCAAUUUUACAAAAUCAAUUACAAUUAUCAGCACAGGAAAAAUCUGCUUUAGAAAGAGAACUAGUUGCAAUGAAUGAAGUGCAAAAGGAAAAUGCUCUGCUGAAGGUGCUUUGAGUAAUGUUGAAUGGUUGUGUUUCUAUUAAAAUUGAGGUGUGUUAUAUUUAUUUGUUUGAUAUUUAUAGGGCUCUUUGGAUGCCAUGGAAAAGAAGAGCACAGCUUUGGAGCUUGAGCUUUUGAAUGCUAAAAAAGACCAUAAUGAAACCAUUCAGAAAAUGAGGGAAUUUGAACAGAAGAGUGCUCAACUAGCACAAAAUAUGAAAAGGUGCAUUUUUUCUGCUCAGGUUUAUUUUAUAAAUUGAUUUAGUUUCUAAGUGCUAGUCAUGUUUGCUCUUUCAAUUGUACUGCACCUUUUUGAACUGUUAUAAUUUUGAACUGUUAUAAACUUAAUUAAUUCAUGUUGUGAUUUCCUUAAAAAUCUAGAGUUUUUGUUUGCUAUUGUUCACUUUUCUACUUGUUUUAAUCUAGUCUUGAAGAAAAGCUAUCGAGUUUGGAGAAUGAAAAUCAGGUGCUUCGUCAGAAAGCCUUAAGUGUAUCUCCUAAGAGUAAUCAUCCAGGUUUUGCAAAGUCAUCAUCCGAAGUAAGUUUCCUCCUGCAUAUUGACAUUCUCUUCUACAAAUAUUUAUAAAAACUUUAUUUUGCAUUAUUCCUUAUUAAUUUGUAUCUUCGUGCUCCGAUUCCUAAAUCGCUUGUAUAUAUUGAAGUGAUUUUGGUGUGUUGAAAACAUCAAAAUUAUUGCAUUGCAUCAUAUAUAGUUUUGUUUCUAAAAAUAAUGUUUUACUUUUUAUUUUAUUUUAUUUUUCUUUCUGAAGCAGAUAAAGUCAAGGGCAAUAGCCCCACACAUUGAGCAAAACCCAGUAUUUGUAAGAUGGUUCCUUCUUUUCUUCCAAUGUUGAAAAUAUAACUUAUGCGACUAUAACUGUUAUUCAUUUGCUAUAAUUUGAUGCAGGAAUCACCUACACCCACAAAACUUAUGUCCUCUUUGACACGUGGCUUGUCAGAUUCUCGUCGAUCUAAAUUAACAGCAGAAAAGCAUCAGGCAUUACUCUUGUUUCCCUUGUUCCGAAAUCCUACACUUUUAGUUUUUGGCAUUCUGCCGUAUUUAAAUUACAGUUUUGUUUGUUUGUUUAGUUUUCAUCUUUAUGUGUUGAACUUGAAUAAUUUAGAUAAAAAUAUUAGAGAAUUGAUAGACUUUGAAUAUUAUUGAUUAUAACUAGAUACUAACUCGAUACAGAAUACUAAACACUAAUCCUUCUAAACAGGGAAAUUGGGAAAUAAAUCUUGAUAAUUACUCAGCAAUAUGGUGAUUCAUAAACUACAUAAGUCACCAUCACAAUAACCAUCAACAGGAAAAGAAGACACCAGUAAUAUGAUUCAUCUGUGGGAAAAGAGUCACUAUCGGAAUAAUUGCUGAUGGUGAUAGAAGCCACUGAUAUGAUCCAUUGAUUUUAUCUUAAUGUUAACAACUAUGGCAACAUUUGCAGAUGGUUGUCCUUUGGAAUUAAUUUACGAAUACCAAACAUCUUUUAUAUAUCCUCCAAUCCAGUAUUCUACAAAACUUAUAAAUGUCGAUAGUCACUUCCUUAGUAAGACUUUCUCUAGCAUCCUCAAAACUUACGUUUGUUCCAGGAAUCAACUUGCUGAUAUCUUCAUAAAAUCUUUAUAGGUUCCUUGGAUUGCUUGUAUGUGCUUCAACCUUAUUGGUAAAAAUCUGAGACAAAAAUAAGGCCUGAAAUGAGUUUAUAAAGAGUGGCACCUUACUAGCCGGUUUUGUAAGGAUGAGUUAGACCCAAUAUAAAAACUUAAUAAACUUGAGGGGGGCGUUAAGAUAUGUUUCAAAAUUGUUCAUGAUUUGGGAGAUCAGUUUAUGUAUUUAUUGUUUUCUUUCUUCGUAUACUUAUUUAUUUAAUUCUAAUGUCUUACCUUUAGGGAUUAAUUUGGUUAGUAUCUUGUAUAGAUAACUAGAUAUUGUACAAAUUAUUCAUGAUUUAAUAUAAAGUGAUUUUCUUGUCGGUCUCAGCUGGCUAAUAGUUGCCAUGUGUUGUCCAGGAUAACUAUGAAUUCCUCACUAGGUGUAUCAAAGAGGAUUUGGGGUUCAAAAAUGGUAAACCUGUGGCAGCUAGUAUCAUAUACAAAUGUCUUCUUCAUUGGCAUGCAUUUGAAUCUGAGCGCACAGCCAUAUUUGAUUACAUAAUUGAUGGAAUCAAUGAAGUCAUAAAAGUAAGCGAUUUGCUCAUAUUUUAUGUGCUACCCUUUGUAUUCUUAUUAUGUUCCUAGUCUUAUUAUCAAAGUUUCUUUUGCAUAGGAAAUAAUUGUUCAUUUAUAGUGCUGUACUGUAUCUCAAUUUUAGGAUGCUCUUAUAAUUUUUUUGAGAUUUAUUUAUUUCUGUGGCAUAUGUUUCAGGUCAGAGACGAUGACAUUGUCUUGCCAUAUUGGCUGUCCAAUACCUCCGCACUUGUUUGCCUUUUACAGAGAAAUGUUCGUUCAAAUGGUUUUUUAACUACCACAGCUCAACGUUAUGCUGGAUCAUCUGGCUUGACCAGCCGGAUUGGGCAUGUAAGUUAUCUUGCUGAAUAUUGAUGUUGGAUUUUUUCACAUGCACAUUACACCAAUUUUUUUUUUUUUUUUUUUUUUGCUUCAAUGUGGUAGUUGUUGACUUGGUCUAAGCAUUUACAUUAUAUUCCUUUUUAAAUUUAGGUUUGUUAUUUCCUAGGUGAUAAAGAUAAACAUUACCUUCCUUCAGAUUAUUUUUUUACAUGGUAUGGAAGGUGAAUAUAGGUUUUUAUAUUGGGUAUAACUCAUCCUUACAUUAUCUGGUAUGAAAGUUGAAAUAUUAGCUUUUCUAUUUCAAUGGACAACAAUACACUAUUUUGGCUAGUAAAUUUUCAUGAGCAAAUUAUAGAUUUGUGAAACGAAAUAUUACUGAGAACUAUUGCUAGAAAAGGUGCAGGAUAUGGUAUCCUUUUGAGCGAAGGUAAAAAAUUGUUGAAGGGCGUAGCCAUGAUCCUAAAUUAUGUUUUUGUUUUUUUAUACACUUGAUGAUAGUCAUAAAUGUUAAAAUAAUAUUAUAAUUUUUAAUAUAGUUAAUCUAAAAUUAGGGCUAGGCAGUAUUUAUAUAUAUGAGACAUGAUCCGUUGACACUGGUGUCAACGAAUUCGUUGACACCAAAUCUCAACCGUCUAUAUUUUUAAUCCAAAGGUCCAUAAUUGUUUGUUAAAUUUACUCACCUGGUAUUUUCUCACUUGAUUCCCACUCGUUUUAAUUCUGCCAAGAACGAAGGGAUGUGUAUUCUACUCCUCACCGAUCUCAAUCAACAAUCACAACAAAAUUUCUUCUGUAAGGAGAAUCGGCAGCAAAACUAUUCAAUCAUUGAUUUAUGGUUAAACAUAUAAAAUUCCAGCAAACUCAUCCAAUCCAAAUUAUUCUUAUAUCACUAUCUUCAUCUUCAAUUGAGAUCUUUAUCAUAAAUUUUGAAUAAAUUGUUUUAAUUCACUACAAUCCAUACAAGAAAUUAAGCAAGAGGGGAAGGAGAUACAUACAAGAAUUGUAUCAAAGUGUGUGUGGGGAUAAUUAAUCUACAAGCUGUCCAGAAGAAAACGAUGAAUAUCAGGAGGCCAUGCUUUCAAUUUGAGUUUUACAAGUAUGCGACUCAAAAAAAGGAUCUCAAGAAAUGGAAAUGUAGAUUAAUUAUGGACCUUUGGAUUAAAAAUAUAGACGGUUGAGAUUUGGUGUCAACGAAUUCAUUGACACCUGGUGUCAACGGAUCCUGUCUCUC
rnacentral:lncRNA from 1 species